rnacentral:lncRNA from 1 species
UUCAGGCCUUUGGAAUUGGCAGGUAUCUAUUUUCUAUAAUCUUCUUUUAUUUUCAUUGUCAAAAAUUGGUUUCCGUAUAAAAUGUAUGGAUGGUUUUUGAUGUAUUAGCAAAAGACGUUAUUCUAUAAUUAUUUAUUUGCUUAAUCCACAACAAUUUCCAUAAUUUUCUUAAAAUAAGCAGUCUCUAAUAAUAAUCUCACUACGUAAAACCCAUCGAUUUAGAUGCUUCAAAAACUAUCAAAAUAAUUGUAGUGUAUACUCCCAUUAAUUGACUUUGUUUAAAUCCUUACACGUUUUUUUGAUCAGAGGUUUGGAGAUGGACCUGGUGAUGAACUUGCAUUUGAAUCUAAUGGAGACUAUACAAGAAAAAUCGGUUAUCUUAAUUUCUCUCAAUAUGAAAAUGGCACAAAAAAUGGGAAUUAUUCAGACAACCUUCUCAACAAUGUGUGGUAUCAACCGGAAGAGAUAUUUCCAUUGAUGGGGCACCUGAGAUUAGACAGCAUGCCUUUUGGGUUCCUGUUGACAAGCUGUACUUUUCACUUGCAGACAAACUUGAGGUUAAUUUUUUACUAUCUUGGCAUAAUCUCUUUGAUCACCAAAGUUUAUCUACCACCAUGAAACUUUACUGAAAAAACUUACACUAACCUCAAGUAUGCUUGGCCCAAAAGAUCGACACAUUUGUUUACUUAAAUUUAGUUUUUUUAAUUAUUGCUUUUCUGUACAGGAUAUUGUCCUCGAAAGGUGUGUCAAUUCCACUAUGUGUUUACCUCGACCUCCAAAGGUAAUUAGAGUGGAAAGAGGGGUGAGUGCUAAUGUAUUUGUAGACAAUGCUGCCUAUCGAGAUUUUUUGAAUACUAAGUUCAAUGCAACUCCAGUCGACAUGGAAAGUGCUGGAGUAGCCCUUGUAUGUCUCCAACAAAGGACGCGUUUUAUAGCAAUUAGGGCACUAUCUGAUUUAGCUGGUGGCGGUUCUUCUCUCUCCAAUGAAGCCGCUAUCUUCUCUUCACUAGCCGCUCAAAAUGCAGUUAAUGUUGUUCUUAAGUUCGUUACUUUGUUGUCUUUGUAACCUCAAAUUAUUUAACUAGACGCAAUCCAAUAAGGUUAUUAGUCAAUGUUGAACGUAUUGAAUUUCAUUUUAUGUUGUUAUUCUUAUAAUGUUGUUUAUUUAAUUGAACAAAAACCGUAUCCCAUAUUUAUGUAUUUAUUAGGUUUUCAACCCCAUAUGAAAUGCCGUUAAUAGUAUUAUACAAAUAUCUGCAUUGAUAUUCUAUUAAAAAGAAUAAUGACGUGAACAAAUAGAAAUCUCCUCCCAAAUGGAUCUAUCAAGGAAUACAUGGCAAGAAAUAUUCAGCACUCUCUAGAAUUCACCAAAGAGAGAUGAAUUUCGAGAGAAUGACAGAUAUAUCUCAAACAAAAAUAGGUUUAUAUUCAAAUACUUCUGUUUCUACCUUCAACGAUUUUCAAGAUUAUAUUUAAAUGAAAGAAACGUGUAUAUUAAGCUACAAAUUCGUGCAUUCAGAUUCCAAAGAAAUUGAAGAAUCAUAGGAACUAUCUUGAGCCAGAUAAGAAUUGACUUUUAGCAUCCCCACGAAUUGACUUUUCAACAUGACCACAUUAAUUGGAAAGUCAAAAUGGAGAUCCAUAAAUUGUGUAGGAAAGUCAAAAUGGAGAUCCAUAAAUUGUGUAGGAAUUUUGAAUUGAUAACUCAAUGAUAUAUUAUUUUAUAUCUAAUAAGUCUCAAAAUCGUUCCAUAAUUUAGUUGAACUGACACCAAAAUUCUAAACCUUAAAAAUCUAAAGCACCAAAUUUGACUCCCUCUAUUUUUUUUAUUUUUUAUUUUUUUUCUCUUUCAAAGUUUGCAAUCGAUAGUAUUCUUGCGACAUGGGACAUCCAAAGUCCUAAGAUUAUAUUCCAUCAACGAGCUAACAAUUGAAAUCCUAAUUAAAAGAUCAGACAUGUAGCACCCAAGUUUUCAUAAACUUUGAGGUGUCACAAAAAACUCAUUUUGUUUGUUUUAAAUACGGAAAGAUAAAAAUGGACUCUAAAAAUAAACUGCUGAAAUAUCCAUAAAUUUAAACUAAACAUGAAAAAUCGUAUCUUAAAAAAAAAUAUAAGCAUGGUCAACUAACUAAUUAAAUAACAUGUCUUUGAAUAAAUUAAACUAACUAAUAAAUUUAAAGACAAAACCAAAAAAAAUAUAUAUUUUUUCCUCUCGAAUUCUCUUGAUAGUCUGAAUUACCAUCCCAUCAUAGUUCUAAUUGAUCCAACUAACAUGAAAAAUUAUUGUAAGAUUGAGUAUUUAAAAAUACCUAAUAAGAUACGUGUACACGAUUAUAUUUAACAAAUAAAUAAAUACUUCAUACUACUUUUCUCUUAUGGAGUAUGUCGAUAACCAAACGACACACCCAUUUUAGGUCCGCUUAAAUUCCUGAAAAUUUUCAUAUCUCUUACUAUAGAAUUCGAAGAUCCACUGGCAAUUUAUGCAUAUUUAAUUGAAUACAUAAAAGUAUAAGGAAACGAACCACUUGCACAUAAGUAUGUUACCUCAUUAUUGAAAUAUUGGAAAGAAUAAAAUCUUACAGAUUUUUAUUCCUCCCUAUUUUUCUAUUCUUUUUCAUCUCCUUCUCUCUCGCCCUCUCUCUUUACCAUGGCUCCCUCUUUAUUAUUAUUAUUAUUAAUUUAUUAAUUUAUUUUUUUGGUGAUGAAAUAAUGGGAAUUUUUGCACUGUUUAUAGUUAAAAUUCUCAAUUGAGUUUGUAUGCAGCUAGAAUUGGAAAAUUGUGUAAUACAAGGAAUUUGACGUCGGGUAGGAUAGCGAUUAUCCUAUAGGCUAGUUGCAACAAACGAUUCGCAAGAAAGAAGAAGAAAGAAACGCAAAAAAUAGAGAAAAUUCUCUGAAAACUUCACUCAAUAUUAUUAAUAAUCAAGAAUGACGAAAAUUAACCCACAAACCGGGUUAAAUAGCUGCAAAAAUACGAAAUUAUCAAAAAAUUACCAAAAAUAGCAAAAUCCUAAUGAUCACACCAAAAUAAAAUAUGAAAUAAAAUAAGUUGCCAAAAAUUUGAUUCAAUCUGGAUUCUCUAACGUCUAGAAAAAGGGAAACAAAAUAUUGUCAUAAAUAGUAAAAAAAAAAACUAAAAAUUGAAUUUCGAAAAGGAAAACAGCUGAUUUUUGGGCUCGAAAUUGACGCCCACCGAGCAUAGCUUGGUGACCACGAUGUGUGGGCCAAAGAGAGCUUUUAGGAUUGGAGUCAUAAUAGCGAUUCUGAUAACCGUAAUCAAAAUUAUGACAAAAUUACCAAAGACGCGUAAGAAUUACCCCAAUUAAGGAAAGAUUGCAUUUAUUUUUCAUCUUUGCACCUAUCCGCCAUCUCAAGGUAUUUCAUCGCUAUCAACGAGCUAUCUGACAGAUCAGCGUCACUCGACUCGAAUCCUCCUGUAUCAGAAUCUGAAUAAGAAUUGAUUUCAAAUAAUACAAUUAUGAUUACUAUUCAACUUUAUCGAAACCAAUUUAAGAUUAGAAUUAAAUUUAUCCAAAUCCCAAACGAUUAUCAUUAUCCAAAAUCAACAUUUAUCAUCUCAUAGGGCACUACCUUAAAAUUAAAAUCAUAAACCAAGUUUUAUAUAUUACCAAUUAAAGACUUCCAUAUCUUAUACCUAACUAAUCCAAAUAAAACUUUUCUCGAGUUCAUAAUACAUUAUUUAAAACAAACUAUAAAAUGAGCCCAAUACUAAAUCUCGUCCUAUCAAAAUCUAAUUACUUAGAUCAAAUAAAAUUAAAAUUAAUACUAAUUCAUUUACUUUCAAAAUAUAAAAAUAUAGCAUAUAGAAUAAGUAAACUUUAUUCUAUAAAAUUUCCGAGGAGUUACAACAGCCCCUACCAUGUGAUUGUAAUAACUAAAGAGCAUUUUAGAACAACAUGAAUAAAGAAAAAUAAAGCUAGUGAGCCAUGCCUUAAUGUUCACUUGUACUCCCUACUUAAACAUGAAUUGCUCCAAUCUGCUAAUCAAUGUUGCAUUUUUCUUAUUACAAGUGUACGAUAUUAAACAGAUAAUAUAGCGGAUAUUAGAGUCCACAUAAUCAUUCCCACAAAAGGCUACUAAUUGUUCCAGUUUACUAUUUUUAAUUUUGUUUGAUAAAAAACAGAGUUUAGUUUGAUUGUUGAUCUAAAUUAUACUAACUAACUUAAUGUAUGUUAAUGUACACAAAAAUCAAAUUAGGUUUUAGAAUGUGAAGGAGAUAUUAAGGUACCGAAUUUCAUUUAUCGAUCACCUUUAAUUCUCUAAUCAAGAAUCUUAACUAAAUGUCGUGUUUGGUCUCAUUCUUCUAACAUAUUUGAUUUACCCCUCUUGCGUUCAAAUUGAUUUUAUUUAAUUAAGUCAAUUCCAUAUCUCUAUCGAGUCAUGAUAUACUUUAGUUAAACGCAUUAAACUUCUAAAAAUUUAUAUAAAGACCACAUUAACUGUAAAAUGUAUCCCUAUGCUUUUAUACUAAUUUCCAGGUUUUGCUACACGGUCUAAACCUCUAACUCACCUCUUGGCUUGCUAUAAAUUUACAAGAUCGUAGAACUAUUGACUAAGUAAUUUAAAGCAUUCAACAAUAUCAAUAAAAUCAACACGUAAAAUUAAGAGCUAUAAUGUUGAAAAUUGAAUUAACAAUAUUUCAAUAAACUACAUCUUUCGCCCUAAUAGAAAGUUUAGCUACGCAUAUUGAAUGAAGAAAGACAGAAUUAUUAUUGAAUAAAUCACUUGAUUUUGAAUGACAAUUUAGAAAAGUGAAUGAAUCUUGCACCAUGAUCCUCUUCAAUCAAUGCUUGAAACCCUAGUUUUGAUAAUUUGAUUUAUUACUUUUCUUCUAUUAUUUCUUUCUAAUUCUCAAGUUGUGGAAUACUUUUUUCCUCUCACUCAAGUCUUUAUAUAGUAUUAUAAUUUUUAGAAGAGUUCCCAUCCAAAACAAGCUCAAAAAGACGAAAAGAACAAAAAAAUACAAAUAUUUGCAAUUUGGCCCUAUAAUUUUUCAAAGCUUCCACUUUGGUCCCUUAACUUUUCAAUUAUCAAUUUUUCAUCCUUAAUCUUUUGAAUUCAUUCAAUUUCCCAAAAAUUCUUUCAAUUGACCGAUUUCAAUCUCAAAUGAUCUUCAAGUGUUCAAAUUAUUCUCCAAUCAAGCUCAAAUCACCACUUUUUGCAUCAAUUGAACUCAAUCUUGACUUUUUCCUACAAAUCAUGCAAUUUCAAAUAAUUAGGUAGGAAUCCGCUCAAAUUAAUCAUAAUUUAUCAAGACUAAGAGCAAAAUAAGUAUAUAAAAUACACUUAUCAAAACUACCUAAACUUAAACUUCUAUUUGUCCCAAGAAGAUUAUCAACCCAAUACACAUGCACGCAAUAAUUAACAAGUUAAAUGGUCCAUCAUAUUUGCUUUACGAUUCAAAAAUGCUCAAGUAAUUCACAAUAAGCUUUUAAGGCAUGCUACCAAAACAUAAUUUAACUUGUCCAAUGCUCGACCAAUAUGGCUAUGUGCAUAAUCCUUUCAAUCACAUACUUUUUCAAGUUGGACUCAUCCCAACUCUCAACGGUCAAUUAUUUAUCCUUUCUUAUUUCGUGAGGAUUCUCCUAUUAUAAAAGUGAAGAAAAGAAAACACAGAGAGAAGUCAAUAGACUUGUGUGUGUUUUAUUAAAAAUUAAAGCCCUGUAUUUAUGGGACAGAAUCAGAGAUACAAUAGUAAUUAUUUCUAGGAGUGUACUUGUCAUUCACCUCUAAACCCUAAUAAACUUUCCUUUUACGACACUCCUCCUUGAAUGACAAAUUAUAAAAUAUCUGCCUCAUUAUAAGAUUGUUUGAUAAAAAUCCAAUAGGAAAAAAAAUCAAAACGAAGGAAAAAGAGUACAGUUAUUUUGGAGUACUUAAAAUUAAAGCUGCCUCCUCUGAGUUGUGCAAUAUAAGUUGUAUUGUCUUCAUACAAAAUUGUUGGACUAUCCUUUGUUGAAGUUAAUCCGCAUGGUGCUUGGAUAUAAUGAGUCAUGUUUCUCAACCACACAGCUUCUCGCCCUGCUUCAUGAAUUAUAAUAAUUGUUUCACAGAUCUCUAUGAUAUAGCUGUUCCUCCACGUGUAAAUAUAUAACAUGUUUGUGAUUUAACUUUAUGUGGGUCAGAUAGAUAACUUGCAUCUACAUAUCCCACUAAAGCAGAUGUCGACUUUUGAGAAUAAAAUAAUCACAGAUCAAUGGUACCCUUUAAAUAACAAAAAAUAUGUUUAACACCAUUCCAAUGUCUUUGAGUUGGUGUAGAGCUAUAUCUUGCAAGGAGAUUUACAGAAAAAGCUAUGUCGGGUAGAGUGUAAUUUGUAAGAUUAGUUAAUACUCUGAUUGCACUAAGAUAUGAUGUUUCAGGACCAAGAACCUUUUUCUCCAUCUUCAAGUGGACAAAAUGGAUCUUUUUUCACAUUAAGUAAUCGAACAACCAUAGGUGAUGCCAAUGGAUUUACAUUAUCCACGUAAAAAAAUUUUAAAACUUUUUCUGUAUACGUAGAUUAGUGAACAAAUAAUCCAUCUGCGGAAUAUUCAAUCUGCAAUCCAAGACAAAUUUGGUUUUUCUCAAAUCCUUCAUCUCAAAUUCGUAUUUCAAUCAGCAGUUUUGUUGAGCUCUUUAGGAGUUCCAAUUAAAGUUAAAUCAUGAAUAUAAACUGCUACAAUUGCAAAUUCACUAUUUAUUUUCUUUAUGAAAACACAUAGGCAGAUAUCGUCAUUUUUAUAACCCUCAUUCAACAAAUAUUCGCUAAAAUGAUUAUACCGCAUGCAUCCGGAUUGUUUUAAUCCUUAUAAUGAUCUUUACAAUUUAAUUGAGAACAUGAUUCUCGAGCAUGUAUCGUUUGUUCUUGGCACCUUAAAUCCUUCAGGGACUUUCAUAUAUAUGUCACUAUCAAGUGAACCAUAUAAAUAUGUAGUUACUAUAUUCAUAAGGCGCAUAUCAAACUUUUGUGACACAGUCAAACUAAUUAAAAAUCUAAAAGUGAUAGUGUCCAUUAUGGGAGAAUAUGUUUCUUCAUAAUUAAUGCCUGGUCUUUGUAAGAAACCUUGAGCUACUAGUCGGACUUUGUACCUUAUAAUUUCAUUAUUUUCAUUCCUUUUUCGUACAAAAACUCAUUUGUAUCCAACAAGAAUUACAUUUGUAGGUUCGAACAACAGGUUCAAACAUUUUUUUGUUUUUUCAAAGAAUUCAAUUCCGCUUGUAUGAUUUUUUUCCAUUUUGACCAAUAAUUUCUAUUUUGACGGUCUUUAACCGACUGUAGUUCAGAAUUCUCAUUUUGCGUAAUAGCAAUAGUCACAUUAAAGGUAAAAAUAUUGUAUAUAACAACAUUAUUUCGUCCCAUAAUUUAUAAGAUAAUAUAUAAUUUAUUGAAAUUUCAUUAUUUUUGGACACUUGUGGUUCUUCAGGAACCGUAUUUUCAAUAUCUAAUUUAUCAAUAUUUUUUAAUGUGAUUUCUUUUGAAAUUUUUGGUUGGUUUUCUCAUGUACCUUUCUUUUUCGAGGUACAGAGUCUUUUGAACCAACUGGUCGACCACACUUCUGGCGUAUUUGAAAUUCAUUUGCUAUAGCAGAUUGUCCUACGGUAACAUCAUUUUUUGCUGGAAUAUUUGCUGUUGGACCAUAUGACUUUGUCAUUUUUCUCGUGUCAACAAAUACAUUAGGUAAUUGAUUUGCAACUCUUUGCAAAUGAAUGAUUUUUUCAACCUCUUGCUCACACUAAUUACUACGGGGAUCAAAAUAAGAUAGAGUUGCUUCAUUCCAAGUAAUUUUACCUUAUUUUUCAGGAUAUAAUUUUUCCCUUCCCAAAGUUGGGAAAGUUAUUUCAUCAAAAUGACAAUCUGUAAAACGUACAGUAAAUAAGUCACCCAUCAAAGGCUCAAGAUACCUAGGAAUUGAUGGUGAAUCAAAACAAACAUAAAUCCCAAGUCUUCAAUGGGGAUCCAUUUUAGUACGUUGUGGGGGUGAAAUAGGGACUUGGACAACACAACCAAAGACCCGUAGGUGAGAAAUAUCAGGUCAUAACCAAAUGUCAGUUGCAAAGGUGAAUAUUAAUAAUAGGCAGUUACUCUAAUACGAACUAAUGAUGUAGCAUGUAAUAUGACAUGACCCCAAACAGAAGCUGGGAGUUUUAUUUUCAUAAGUAUUAGUCUAACAAUAAAUUGUAGACAUUUAAUAAACGACUCUGCCAAAUCAUUUUGUUUAUGGACAUGCGCAAUUGAAUGUUCAAUUAAAAUCUCGAUUGAUAUACAAUAAUUAUCGAAUGCUUGUUACCUAAAUUCACCAGCAUUGUCAAGGCGAAUAGUUUUAAUUGAGUAAUCAGGAAAUUGUGCUUGUAAUUUUAUAAUUUGAGCAAGUAGUCUAGCAAAUACUACAUUUAUAGUAGAAAAUAGACAAACAUGUGACCAUCUAGUAGAAGAAUCAAUUAAUACCAUAAAAUAAUAAAAUGAUCCACAUAGUGGGUGUAUUGGCCCACAUAUGUCUCCAUGAAUUCUUUCCAGAAAGUUGGAGAUUCAAUAUUGACCUUUAUAGUUGAAAGUCUAAUGACUAAUUUGCCUUGCAAACAAGCUACACAUGGAUAAUCAUUAGGUAAAAGAAUCUUCUGAUUUUCUAAAGGAUGUCCAUAUGAGUUGUUUAUUAUUUGACGCAUCAUUAUAGCUCCUAGAUGUCCAAGUCGAUCUUGCCAAAUGAUAAAGCUUUUUAGGUCAACGAACUUCUGGUUCGUGACAAUAUUUGAUUCAACCAUUUUUAUAAAUGUAUAAUAAAUGCCAGAUGGGAGUGUAUAUAAUUUUUCUUUUAUCUACUUUUGAUUAAAUAUAAAAGAAGUUAUGCAAAGAUGUUCCGUAUUAUUUUCUUGCGUCGUUUCAAUAUGAUAUCCAUUGCAACGGAUAUCUUUAAAACUAAACAAAUUUCUUUUGAAUUUGCUAGAAUAAAGUGCAUCGUUAAUAUAUAUAAUUUUGUAUUAUUUGGUAAAAUAAUACAAGCUCUUCCAGAGCCUACAAUGAUAUUCGAUGCACCUGUUAUUGUAUUGACAUUAUUUUCUUUCAAUGUUAAGUUCAAGAAAUAUUUUUUAUCUUGAAAAAUAGUAUGUGUAGUUGUACUAUCAAUCAAACAGGUGACAAUCCGUCAUGAAUCUAUCAAUAUAACAAAAUAGAUAUAUUUAAAAAAAAACUUGAAGUUAAAUUUAAAAUGAUAAGCAUAAUUAAUACUGUGAAAUAAUGAUGCAUAAUAAAGUUCUAAAUUUUUGCGAAAAGUAAAAACAUAUUUCAAACUAAAUUUCUAAAAUAAAGGGAAAUACUAGCAUAAAAAAACUAAUAUAUAUCUUUCAUCACACCACCCUCAAUCAAAUGGUCAAUAUUCCCAUUUGGAUCAGCAAAGAAAUCGGAGACAUCCAAAUAAGUGACAUCAAUUGGAUCAUUAUAAUCAGUAAAAUUUGUCUCCACUUUUUUCUUUCCCUUGAUUGAUUUUUGGUAGAGAUCCUCAAGGUGUUUUGUUGUACGACAUGUACGUGUUCAAUGCCCUUUCAUUCCAUAUCUAAAGCAACUUUCUUCGUGUACCUUUUUGGAUAUGCUACUUAGUUUGCUUUGUACCUUUUGAAAUUGUUGUAUUGUUGUUGAUUAUUUCGUCCAUUGUUUACUCCGCGACCACGUCUACGUUCAUGUCCUUGUCUUGAUAUUGCAUUUGCUUCAGGUAUUGUAGUACCAUUUGCUUCAGGAAAUGGUAUAGAACUAGUUGGACGUAACCCAUAAUUUUUCAUUAGCAGUUCAUUAUUCUGUUCCGCAACAAGCAGGCAACAUAUCAAUUCUGAGUAUUUUUUGAAACCACGCUUGCAAUAUUGCUGCUGCAGGAGCACAUUCGAGGCGUAAAAGGUAGAAAAGGUUUUUUCCAACAUGAUGUCUUCAUCAGUGAUUUUUCUCCACACAUUGUACUCACUAAUAGUUUUGAAGUCUUACAAACAAAGGCGCAUCCACUCAUAGCGGGCUUUGAGGAGGACUAUAGUCCUUUGAUGAUCAAAUAUUUCAGUUAAUUUUUUCCAAAGAUCCUGGGAUAUUUUUCAGUGAGGUAUCCAGUUUUCAGUCCAUUGUAAAGAUGAUGACAAAGGAAGAUGAGCGCUUUUGUACGAUCCUGCACGGGUUCUUUGUUUUUUUUCUUUUAUUGUUUCUCUCAAACCUUUUGACAUAAGAUGGAUGUUAGCGUCAAGUACCCAUAGUAUAUAGUUUUUGCCAAAGAUAUUAAGUGCAGUAAAGUUAAGUUUUGUGAUAUUUGCCAUUUGAUUAACUACAAAAUAAAGCAAAAGAAAAUACAAUUAAUUUCAAAGAAUAUGAUUAGACAUCACAUAAUAGUUAAUCAUGACAUAAGUUAUGUGUUUUCUUUAAAUGAUAAACACUAAAAUAAUAUAUUCUUGGAAACAUAUGCUACUUCAGGAGCACUUAGUAUUUUACUAUUACUUAUUCAAGAGCAAUAUGUCAAUAUUUUUCUAGAAUAUUGAAAAUUAUAAUUUAUUCUUUUGAGGAGCAAGUAAUAUUCUUUAAAAAUAUUAAUUAUAAUAUUGUGAUACUUCAGGAGUAUCAACUAACUAUAUAUAGUAGAUAGAUUUUAAGUUAAUAUGCUUCUAGAAUAUUAAUUAUAAUAUUGUACUACUUCAAGAGCAAUAUGAUAAAUUUUUAAGUUAAAGUUUAUAUAAGAACAUCUAAAAUAUUUAAUUACCAUAUAGACAUGGUAUAAAUUUACAUAUAAGAAUUAAUCACAAAAAAUGUAUAAGUAAAGGAAAGAAAAAUCUUCCAAGCAUGCAUGUGAAAGGAAUAUUUAAUUACCGUACAAACAGGAUAUGAUGUAAAAAUUAAUUACCAAAUAGAUAAUAUAUGAAUUUAUAUUUUAAAAUUGAUUACCAAACAUAUAUUAGGAAAAAGAAUCUUCAUACAUAGAAGUUUAAAAAAUUGGUUAAAUCACUUAUUGGCUAAAUCUUUUACCAACAUGCAAAAGAUACUAAACAUGUAUGUGAAUUUCACAUAUUUAGAAAUUAAAGAUAGAACUAAUAUGUAACAGAUUCAAAAAACAGAAUGAAUACUGAAUAAUAUGUGAAAAAAAUGAUCGUAUAUGAAUAAUAAAAAUGUGAAUUAAUUUGUGUUUAGAUUACACAUACAAAUAUGAAUUAGAAUUAAUAUGCUUGCCGAUGAAAAGUAAAGAAGAAGAAGCAACAUCGUUAUGAUGUAUAUGUAUAAUGAAAUAGUUCAUAUUCUACCAAAUUAAUUUUGGUACACGUGACAAAUAUUCAUGUCUAUAAAAAUUAUUACCUUCACUAAAUUUUGAAAAAUUAAGAUAUCGUGCUAAUAACGUGUUAUAAAAUGAAGAAAAGAAAAGAGAACAGAGAAAAAUCAAUAGGCUUGUUUAUAUUUUAUUAAGAACCAAAACUUUAUAUUUAUAGGACAGAAUUAGGGAUACAAUAGUAAUUAUUUAUAGGGCUAUAGGGGUGUAAUUGUCAUUCACCUCUAAACCCUAAUAAACUUUCCUUUUACAACAUUUACCUAAUUUUUAUCUUAUUCGCCUUGGAUAUUUUACACCUUGCUUAGCGCAUACAAUAUCCAUGUUUAUCUCAAUUCCCUACAAGGCCCAAUCACCUCCAAACUAUCAUAGAAUUGGCUUAGUAGUUGUGUUGUCUAUUUUGUUUUGAGUUUUAAAAACCUAUGGUCACAAUCAAUUCAACAUAUUCUAUCCAUUGAUUCAACCUAAAUAAUAUGUGAUUUUAAUGACUAUUUUGCUUAAUUUAAAUCAAUCUAUCAUGGACAGGCUUCAACUUAGUCAAACAGGCGCCCCUAGUCACAAUUAAUAAAUAAAAUAAUAAUAAUUUCAAAUAACAUCAUCAUAUGCCGACAAGGCUAUAUAUCCAUUCACACAAACAGGUAAUUUUUUUUAAAAAAAAACUUAUAACUAAAUUAUAAAAAUAUGAAAUGAGCAUAAAUAUAUUCUAACCUAUAUAACCCUCAUGUAAAGUACAAAUCAAACCUCCUAACUUAAACUACACAUUAGUCCCUAAUUUGAAAAAUAAAAGUAAAAUGAGAUAUUACACCUAGUUUUUCCAUGAUCUGCUAGAGGUGGUGGUGGAUACUGGGUCCAAUGAAAUUGUCCCAUAAGCAUCAUCAUUUAAUCAUGACCCUGACAAUGACUCUCUUCCAUCGGACGAAGCGUGGUAAGGAGUAUUUCUUGUCCCUACAAUUGUCUCUGACGUUCAUGCUAUUGUCUUUGCCCUUCGUAUAGCCGCCUUUCCUCUUCACCUAGCUGCUUGAUGACAUCUUCUUGAUUUUGCAUGGACGUCUGGAUGUUCCUUAAUGAUUGUCUAAAUUUAACACCACUUCAAUGAUCGAGUCAUGGUGGCAGGACCAGGACUUGUCUGUCGAUUGGUUCUUCUUUUGGAGGGGGCAUAUCUUCUUCUACCUUCUCUUUUCUUUCUCUUCAUCUGUCCUACUGCCAGUCUCCCUUGCUUGUGCCUAUUUAUCUGUGAUGUUGACUGUCUUAUUAUUGUAAGGCGUAAAAGUGGUGGCAUCUUUUGUUCUACUUCAAACGGUGUCAUAGGUACUCUCGCAUCUUUCCACAAUGAAAAAAUCAAACUAGACAUUGUCAAUUUUUUGUGAGAUCUCUAGGAACCAUAGCAAUAUCCCCACAACAAUGUAAUCUUUAAUAUAUAAAUUACAGUAUUAUGUAUUGUUAGGAUCAUGUUGCUUGAGAGGAAAUGAUGGAAGAAGCGUAAUUCAUCAUUCAUUUCGCCAUGAUGAACUAUGUAGGUGGUUGGCCAAUCUUUAGGCUUGGCCCUUGGAUAUAUGAAUUGUGCUACUGUAUCCUAAUUGACGGUCACCGGUACUUCAGACCCUUCUUCAAUAUUAUAAUACUCUAGCUUGUAUAAUUGUGGGAUUGAACGAAAUCCAUACUCUACGCACAUAUGUUUUAGAUAGUGGUCCCGUACAGCUGUGUGUAAACUUUAUUGGGUUUAGCACAUAGUUUGGUCCAUCCCUUUUCUGUGACAAUGUUCAAUAUGCUCAUGAAUUGAAAUUGGUCUAGUAGCAUUCCCCUCUCGUGAAUAAGAGUCCAAUUAUUGAAUAUAUCUGCACAUUGUGUUGCUUCUUCAAACAUAUAAAUUUCAUAAAACGGGAGCUCGAAUCAGGCCCCAUUUCCAAUGCUAAAGGACUCGACAAUUCCCUUUCCCAUAUUCACUCUAGAGGUUGUUGUUCUUGGAGGCAUUGUAAAUGAGUUAUAUACUACAGAUGUAAAUAAAAUGUUAGGCCAAAUUAUAUUUCAUCAACUUGUACAAGGAAAAUAUGUAUUUAAUGAUAAGGUAUAUAUGCAAGGAUGAAGUGAAUAACGUGACUCAAGUGAAAUUUUCAUUAUGUGUGAUGAUUGUGGAGUGGACAAACACCCCCAAACUUAAUGUGGUAUGGUAGGGUUAAUUAUAUGAAUGGUCACUGAACUUUGCCCUAUGUCACUACUUAGUCACUUAACUUAAAAAUGUAACUCAAUGGUCACUGAAUUUCGUCAAGUGUUACUACUUCAUAACCGAACUUUAAAAUAUAUCUCAAUAGUCACCGAACUUUGCACCGUGUUAUCCAUCCGUCACUCAAAUGGAAAAAUCCGUUAAGUUCAACAAACGGCGUCAACUUGAGUGAUGGAUGGAUAACAGAGUGUAGCAUGAUUGCCUUCACAAUUUUCCCACACAUUUGCUCCGUGUGUUUAAGACUUUGCCAAUAACUCCAUCUACUUUGUCAAAACAGACAUAUGUACAUUAAUAAAUGUGUUGUCCAACUCAUUGAUUCCAGUUAUUUUCUUUGGCACUCCUCUUUCAGAUGAAAACAUGGAGUGAGUAGCUGCAAACAACUAGAAUAAGUCCAAAAAUUAUUGAAUUGAUUUACUAAUUAUGGACCUGUUUUUUAAAGAAUCCACCUGAGAUUUGUUGAUAAUCCAUAGUAGAAAUACUCUAUCAAUUACCUUUGCUUAUCCCAUGAUUUGUACACUUCCUCAUCAAAUCUUUGAAUAUCUUCCAAGCAUCGUGGCAACUUUCCCCAUCACGUUGCUGGAAUGUUUGGAUUUCAAGUCGAAUUUUUGCUACUUUGGUAGGUAGGAAGAAUUAAUUGCAGAUUUUCCUUGCCAAGUUGUUAACUGUGACCAUCUACUCUUAAUAAUAUUUUUUUCUUAUUCUUAUCAUUUUAUUUUAUUUCAUUAUUAGUUUUUAAAUCACACUACAAUUUAAUAAUUUGUAUUUGACUCAAUUAGGCAUUUCAUAGUAAAUUCAAAACAUAUCAUGAAAAUCAAAUUAAUAAUAUAGAGUUAAAAGAACCGUCAAAUUUAUAUUAUAGUAAAGGAGAAUUUUCCUUACAAAAUAUAUCUGGUAGCAAGUUAGCUAUAUGACAAUCCAAAUUUUUUUAGUCAAAAGAAAUGUCUGCUAAUUUUCAAAAAAAUUUCCUUAGAUCUGACCUAGAGCAGGUUGAUGUGGCAUUAUAUCGACGUCAGAUAAGUUAUCCCAUUUCACUCCAUUGUUUUACUAUGUAUCAUGAUCCUAUUUUACAUAAUAUCACUUCACUGUUUACUCCACGUAUAUCCAAAUAUUUACAUAACGACAUGUAAUCAAGUUAUAUCACAAAAGUGAUAAACCUUGAUUGGGAUAAGUAUCAUUUAACAGUACAUUCGGUAAUUCUAUGUAGUCUAGAUUCCAUUGUAAAAACAACUUUUCCUUUGCCUUUGACUGUUGGAGUAUAGAAAAAUAUUUUAUAGUUAAAUUUCUAUACAAGUUACAAGAUAUGUCACUUUGGAUUUCAAAAGUGAUAUACUUUUAUUAUUCUUAUUUUAAAACUAAAAAUGACAUAUUGAAGUCUGUAAUAUGUAUACUAUUCUACAGUAGGAAAACUUGAAAGUCAAUCCAAAAUAAAAGCUCAAACACACUAGUUUCAUAAAUCAUUUUAACUUUCUUUCAUUUUGUGAAUUCUUCUUCACAUUGACAGUGAAAUUAUUUCAAUCCUUGUUUCAUUCUUGAUUUCUUCAACUCUUGAUAUGUUUUAUAAACAACGAAAACGAAUUCUUCCAAAUUACUUCCAAAUUUUUAUUACUUCCAAAUUAACAACCUUUAUUAAAUUCCACCUCAAAAAGGUAGGGAGCGAGAUCUGAAUAUCAGUCUGUAAGCUUAAGUAAAAAUGUUCUAUUUCUAAAAGUUCAAUUUACAUGGUUAUUGACCAUUUUAUUAAAAAGUUUGCAGAGUAUGUCAUUUUCUAAUCCAGUACCUUAAUUCAUAUUAAAGACAAACCAAAAUGAUAUAAAGAUUGGAAUUUUUUACAUCAAUGUGUUAAAAUAAAUUGUCAAGUGUUAUUAUUUUGAUUAAGUGGAGGUACAUUUUAACAAUACUAUACAUUUUAAAAUUUUUAAAUCAUGUCAUUUUUUAAUGCAAAGAUAAGGCUGAAUUCAUAUUUAUAAUUAUAUUUUCAAAACACCUUGUAUGCAUCUCUUCAAUUAAUCCAAACGUAAUUUUAAUAGUUAAUAACUCCUAAUCAUUAAUCCGAAGAUGAAUUUUCAUAUCUACUAACCCAAAAAAACCACAGAAAUUGUCAUAGUUGAAAUAUAUAUAGCAGUUCAAAGACAUCCAAACAUGUUUAUAAAUCUGUAAAAUUAGUUAAUAAUUACUUUUCUUUUUCUCAUUAAUUAUGAAAUCUUUAAUAUAUUAUUGAAGAAUCACAUUCAAAAAGAUGCUUUACAAAAUUAUAAAUCCUAAGCAAAUUAACUAUUAAUUGUAUAAAGAAGAGUAUUCUAUUCCUUAUUAUGCCAUGCAGAGCCGGUCUUGUGAUUCUCGGGGCCUGAGACGAAGUCUGAAAAUUAGGUCCCUCAACGAAAUCAACGUAAAUGCAAACUUCAACAAUAUAUUAUGUGAUUCAUUACUAACUUGAAAAACUAAUAUUAAAACAACAACCAAAUAUAUUAUAGAAAAUUAUCCAAGGAUAAAAUAUCAUGUAGCAUUAUGUAAAUCAUUAAGUAGACCUUGAUGUACAUGUAACAUGCUCCAAAGCAAAGUAAGUACAAAGCAAAUUUCUACUAAAAAAAUUUGCCACCUGCCACAACAUACCACCACAACCACAUCGACCCAAACCCAUCAACCUUCCUUCAAUCACAUAUCUAACAGCACUACUGUAGCCACAAAACUACCAACCAGAAUUGAAAACUUUCCCCACAAUAUCUUUACAAGAUUGAAAUCAGAAGUUCAAACAAAAUGUAUUAUGGAUCUACCUCAGUAAAUAUGAAUUAAACUAACGCAUGCCAAUUGAAUAUCAUCAAAAAAUGGACAUCAGAGUUUAUUUUCCCUUUCCCUUUUCUUCAGUAACCAAGAACACAAAUAUCACAAAUCAUAAUACAGAACGGAAAACUGAAAUUCUUCACAGAAACAAAUCUGUGAAAACUUCAAAUAAAGGUAGCACAAAAAGGCCCAUCUUACAGAUAUUGUUACUUGCUCUUCAACCAGCUAGGUGGCUCAGAGACUUAUUGAACAUUGUGUGCCACAUGUAAGCCCAGGACAACACCAUUUCAAGAUCCAUUUCAUUCCAGUUUUGAGUUGGAGGGUGCUGAAGAAACAUGACCAUAUCCUGAAAUUCAAGCUCGUGGAGCUUCUCUAACCACUAGAAAUAUAUAAUUAAUUUCAGUUUCCAACUGUUUGACAGUUAUAAUCAUACAAAAGAUCAAAUAUUACCGAGUCAAUAUUUAAUUAUGUUGAGUAAAACUGUAAGAGAAAGAAAGAAAUGCACAUGAGGUAGGUAUGGUUUUAAGCAUUAGUUGGAAUGACCACUGAAAUUAUGAAAUUCCAUCAACUAUAUAGCAAGUUAUGUGUUAUUCAAUUUCAAAGAUAUGUGCAAAAUCAAAUAUUACCGUUAAAAGAAAGCUUGCAAAUAUGUACACGAGAAAAUCUGGCAACGCAUCUCCUUCCGCAAGAUAUGUGUCCCACAAGCAGGUUACAAGAUGAAAAUGAAUCUACAGAGAAUAUAAAUCCAUUGGGUAUUCUUUUUGCUAUGAAAAUUGUCAAUAUCGAUUUCACAACUCAAAUACAGUCCAAGAACUACCUCCGGCAGCCCGGCUCUGGCUGUUAGUUGUUACAGCAUUCUUGAUUCUCCAAAGUCCGAACCAAGAAUCACAGAGUCAGAACCUUCCAUUUCCAGUUUCCACUGCAAUUUGAGCCUUAAUACACUUGUGACUUCUCUCUCUAAAUGGUUCAACCAACCCGAAUUUCUAUGAUUGCCAAAAUAUGCCUAGCUUUUGCUCUCUAUGUGAGUGUGCUGUGUGCGCAGGCGAGACGCAGACUUGAGGUUUUAGAGAACUGCGAAGCCAAGUGGCCAAUUAACCAAGCGAGAAAAUAUCGGAUUCUUUCUGGAAGACUGGAACUAUGGAUUCUGGAGAGUGGAGACUAGCAGCGGAAGCAGGAGAAGUUGAGCGAGAGAGAUGGGACUCAGUCACUCAGACGGAAGCGACGAAGCUUUUGGGGAAAAUGGAUUUCAAUUUGGGAAUUUUGGGGAAAAUGGAUAUUGGAUCAGGAUACGGGCUUGAGCUUCAGAGGUUUGGGCCAUUGUUCAAAGAAAAAAAUUAAACAAAGAGGGCCCCUUAGAUUUUGGGCCAUUGUUCAAAGGAAAAAAAAAUAAUAAUAAUAAAUAAAUAAAUAAAUUGGGCCAGCAAUAUGAGGCCCCCUUAGAUUUUGGGCCUGAGGCGCAGGCCUCAUUUGCCUCUAGGCAGAACCGGGCCUGAUGCCAUGUAUAGCAUGGACGCAAGGGAAAAGAUGAAAAAACAAGCUAUGAAAUGGUGGGCAAAAAAGACAGAUGCAGGCAUUAUGGACCUAUCAGUGCUAAUAAGUCCUUAGAGCAUCUCCAAUGAUGCUCUAAAUUAGAUCUAAAUCAUGAUAAUGGAUAUUGGAUCAGGAUACGGGCUUGAGCUUCAGAGGUUUGGGCCAUUGUUCAAAGAAAAAAAUUAAACAAAGAGGGCCCCUUAGAUUUUGGGCCAUUGUUCAAAGGAAAAAAUAAAUAAAUAAAAAAUUGGGCCAGCAAUAUGAGGCCCCCUUAGAUUUUGGGCCUGAGGCGCAGGCCUCAUUUGCCUCUAGGCAGAACCGGGCCUGAUGCCAUGUAUAGCAUGGACGCAAGGGAAAAGAUGAAAAAACAAGCUAUGAAAUGGUGGGCAAAAAAGAUAGAUGCAGGCAUUAUGGACCUAUCAGUGCUAAUAAGUCCUUAGAGCAUCUCCAAUGAUGCUCUAAAUUAGAUCUAAAUCAUGAUAUAGACUUUUAAAGUGGUUGAAAACCUCGUUAGAGAGAUAUAAAGGAAUUAAUUCAAAGUGCAUUUUUCGACAAUAAAUGUAAAAAAUAUGGAAAAAAAUACAUUUUUUAAGAUCUACUUGUGGAAGCCACAGGAGGGCAAAAAGUUGCCAACUCAUUUGCACCCAUUUUUUUUUUUUUAGAUCUUCCCAUUUAAUUAAAAUUUGAAUUUAGAUUCAUCGAGAAGUGAGAGGAUGUUUGGGAGACAUUUUUAUGUAAAAAUGUAUUUUUGAACAGUAAAUUGAUGAAAAAUGUGUGGUUGAAAAAUAAAGAAAAGUUUUUGAUUUACGUGUAAUAUUAUUUUAAUAAAAAAUGUGUGAUUGAAAAGAAAAGAGAGAAAAAUGUAUUUUAAAAAAAAUGGGUACCGACAAGCUAGUUUUCAAUCAUUACGAUUUGAAGUCAAAUUUAGACGGGUUUUCAAUCUAUUUUUCGUUUGAACUUACGAGUUCAGUGAAAUCCGAUUUUCAUGACAUUAUUGUAAAAAAAUUAAUAAGAUGAUUGAAAUUGUCAAAAGAAACAAGACUAUUGAACCUACAUUGAUCUACCAUCUUUUGUUUUUUAUUGAAAAAUAAUAUUAGGAAAAAAAGAAAGAAAGAAAGAAGUGGCAAGGCUUGGAUGGACUGCCUAGCACGCCAUAUAAUAGUCUUUAAACGGAACAAACUUGAAGUUAUUAAACACACUGUUAAGGAUUUUAACUAAAAAAAUAAAUUCAUAAAAAAAACAUUUAUUGAUAGGAGAAAGGAUUACAAAAAUUAAAAAAUCAAAAUCAAAUGAAGAGAGAGAGAGAGAGAGAGAGAGAAUGUAUUAUGAAAUCAAAAAAUGAACUAAUAAUUUGGUCAUCUCCAACCCUGCACCAAAAUUGAAGUAAGUUUUGCACCAAUUUUAUAUCAAACUAAAAAUCAUCUCUAACCAUUAUACCAGAUGAACAGUAUUUAAUCAUUUUCUUCCCUUUUUCUAUUCUUAAUAAUUUAUUUAUUUGAAAAAAUAUUUAUUUAUUUAUUUUACAAAUACAUAAAUUACUAAAUAAAUAAUUAAGUUAAAUUAACUAAAAUAAUAAAUUAACUAAUAAGUACAAAAUUAUAGUACAAUUAAUGUAAACACUAUAAAAAAAAGAAAAUAUUAAAUCAUGCCAUUAAAAAAUAGUGAAAUGCAUUUUGAAUUUGGAUAUUAUGAUAUGAUAUGAAGUCUAAAUAGCGUUGCAAUUUAAUUCCUAAAUUUCGUACAUUUUUCCCACAAAUGAUCGAUUAAUGUAUUUGAAAGUGCAAUGUGGAUCUCUUUAUCCUUGAUUUGUCUAUGAUAAGUAAGAAUGAUUAUAGUUUUCAACAACUCAACCUCUGGACUCGGUGCUUUCGUCUUCCAAAUUACUAAAUUAUUCACUUAUUUUAUGUAUCGUUUUCUUUAAAUAAUCUAGAAUAAUGUAUAUAUGUGGUUGUUAUAAUAUAUUUCGUGUUAACUUUAAAUAAUUGUGUUUGUUAUAUUUUAAAAUUUUUUAUUCUUAUUUUAAUUAAUUCAUUAAUUAUUAUUGUUUACAUUAUUAAAAUUUUUAAAUGGAAGAAAAGAGUAAAUUUGACUUUGCAUCAUUUUGCACCAAAUGGUGCGAAAUUUGGUGCCACCUGCUCCUCCGGGACCUUCUCUUUCUCCCAAGGCUCUUUGGCCUUCACUAGCCUCUGAGGUGUCCUCUCUUCGGGAGCCCUUGAACUGCUGUCCUUAGAGAGGCGCUCAACCCUGCUCGAAAACCUCUUUGGCACCAAUCGACCCCCGUUUCAGGGGCCUCGCCUUUACAGUGGAUGUGGCCCUAAGCAUAGAGGUCAUGUCACGGGCUGAGUAUUCCCUCCUCUUGAACUUGUUUGCAGAACAUGUCAAUGCAUCAGCAUCAAAACAAAAAGCAAGAAAUACAAAAGUAUAGGAGCUUCUUACCCUUGGAGGCCAUCAGUUCAAAAUCAAGGAAGUAGUGACUUCAGUCGAUGAGGUGUCGAAGUGGUGAAACUUCAGAGGUCUCUUUUAAAUGUCCUCUAUCACUUCAAACUUCUUCUUGCUCAACUCGAACCGCGUACUGCUAUUUGCAAAGGAAGCCUCAACAGUUAGAAAAAGAAUUUUGAAUACAGAAUGCAAGCUACUUAGGCUGGGAGACUCACGAGCUUCGUAGUACUGGGUCGGUACUGUGCAAGCUAGGGUUGUGUCCCCCUCCACCGCCUGCCACCUGCCCCUCACCCAAAACCACGACUUCUUCUACCCCUUAAUGGAAGAAUGCAGCCCCACCACAAAUGGUGCAUGAGCCCCCCAAGGAGUUAAGUAAUACCACCCCAUUGACUCCUUACCUAUUACCCUAGGCUGAAAUAAGGUCAUGAAGACGUGGAGAGACAUGUCCUCCCAAAGUGACACUUCCUUCUAUAGGAAGUACGAGCCAACCAAUUGGCUCCAACCAUUUGGCAGAACCUGGGUUGGCAACAACAUAAAGUUCCUCAGCACCGCCUUGAAGAAGGGGUGCAGAGGAAGACGUAUACCUGCCUUAAACAGGUACUCGCUCACCGCCACGCAUCCAGGCCUCGGAUAGCAGGCUCGCUCAUGGGCUUCGGGUACUAACAUCUCUACAUAAUGAGGUACACAGUACCUAUCCCUAAUCUCUCUCAGCCUCUUCCAUGUCAUAUUUGAAAGGACUCUAGACGCCCUCUACUCUUCACUGUAGUCUACUGCCUCCUCGGUUAUAGUAUAUUGCUCAACCCCGGAGUCCCCCUGUAACUAGCCCCUUGACCGAAUGAUGCGAUAGUGACCAACUCCCUUCCCGAGGUGGACUCCAUUUCAGAAAAGGACUAAGAACGCAAUACAAGGGAUUUUCUGUGAAAAUACCUACGGGAAUAACUACGCCAACGUAAUGGUGCCGGAAAACCAGGGAACAAAUAGCUUCAACGCUGAAAAACUUAAGCUUUGGAAGAAAAAUCAGAUUGCAAAGGUAGAAAAUCCAGAAAAAUGGGGGUCUCUCGCCUUUUAUAAAGGGCUAGGACGAACCCCAACCGUCUGAUCAAAGCCCAUCCAAUCUGGACCCUUCAUUCUAAAUCAAAUUCGAGGUGUAGAAUUCAAACGAUUUUUCAAACCUAUGCCUUAGAUUUAAGCGUGUCUCCCACGUACCUCCCCCAACGCGUCUGCUUCUAGAAGCUCCAGCUGUUCUCAUGAUUACGACUUUAAUUCGACGGUAGCAGGCGCCUUGGAAGUUGUAACGGUUCAGCCAUCUUUCCUCGAAAAUAUGAGCAAAACAUCAAAUUAUUGGCACAACUGUCGAGGAACAAUUAUUGUCAAUGUGCCUCAGAUUUUAGCCAUCAAGCCUCUCAGGUUCGAUUCUCAACCACCUCGGCUUCCUCUUCAUCAUUCAGCCAUAAAGCCUCGCAGAUUUGGUUUCCCAAACCACCUCGACUUCCUCUUCAUCAUUCAGCAUAAAGCCCCGUAGGUUCGGUUUCCCAAACCACCUCAGCUUCCUCUUCAUCAUUCAGCCAUCAAGCCUCGCANNNNNNNNNNNNNNNNNNNNNNNNNNNNNNNNNNNNNNNNNNNNNNNNNNNNNNNNNNNNNNNNNNNNNNNNNNNNNNNNNNNNNNNNNNNNNNNNNNNNNNNNNNNNNNNNNNNNNNNNNNNNNNNNNNNNNNNNNNNNNNNNNNNNNNNNNNNNNNNNNNNNNNNNNNNNNNNNNNNNNNNNNNNNNNNNNNNNNNNNNNNNNNNNNNNNNNNNNNNNNNNNNNNNNNNNNNNNNNNNNNNNNNNNNNNNNNNNNNNNNNNNNNNNNNNNNNNNNNNNNNNNNNNNNNNNNNNNNNNNNNNNNNNNNNNNNNNNNNNNNNNNNNNNNNNNNNNNNNNNNNNNNNNNNNNNNNNNNNNNNNNNNNNNNNNNNNNNNNNNNNNNNNNNNNNNNNNNNNNNNNNNNNNNNNNNNNNNNNNNNNNNNNNNNNNNNNNNNNNNNNNNNNNNNNNNNNNNNNNNNNNNNNNNNNNNNNNNNNNNNNNNNNNNNNNNNNNNNNNNNNNNNNNNNNNNNNNNNNNNNNNNNNNNNNNNNNNNNNNNNNNNNNNNNNNNNNNNNNNNNNNNNNNNNNNNNNNNNNNNNNNNNNNNNNNNNNNNNNNNNNNNNNNNNNNNNNNNNNNNNNNNNNNNNNNNNNNNNNNNNNNNNNNNNNNNNNNNNNNNNNNNNNNNNNNNNNNNNNNNNNNNNNNNNNNNNNNNNNNNNNNNNNNNNNNNNNNNNNNNNNNNNNNNNNNNNNNNNNNNNNNNNNNNNNNNNNNNNNNNNNNNNNNNNNNNNNNNNNNNNNNNNNNNNNNNNNNNNNNNNNNNNNNNNNNNNNNNNNNNNNNNNNNNNNNNNNNNNNNNNNNNNNNNNNNNNNNNNNNNNNNNNNNNNNNNNNNNNNNNNNNNNNNNNNNNNNNNNNNNNNNNNNNNNNNNNNNNNNNNNNNNNNNNNNNNNNNNNNNNNNNNNNNNNNNNNNNNNNNNNNNNNNNNNNNNNNNNNNNNNNNNNNNNNNNNNNNNNNNNNNNNNNNNNNNNNNNNNNNNNNNNNNNNNNNNNNNNNNNNNNNNNNNNNNNNNNNNNNNNNNNNNNNNNNNNNNNNNNNNNNNNNNNNNNNNNNNNNNNNNNNNNNNNNNNNNNNNNNNNNNNNNNNNNNNNNNNNNNNNNNNNNNNNNNNNNNNNNNNNNNNNNNNNNNNNNNNNNNNNNNNNNNNNNNNNNNNNNNNNNNNNNNNNNNNNNNNNNNNNNNNNNNNNNNNNNNNNNNNNNNNNNNNNNNNNNNNNNNNNNNNNNNNNNNNNNNNNNNNNNNNNNNNNNNNNNNNNNNNNNNNNNNNNNNNNNNNNNNNNNNNNNNNNNNNNNNNNNNNNNNNNNNNNNNNNNNNNNNNNNNNNNNNNNNNNNNNNNNNNNNNNNNNNNNNNNNNNNNNNNNNNNNNNNNNNNNNNNNNNNNNNNAACAAGACACUUGUUUUAUAAGCAUAGGAUUCUUUGAUUGCCACUUAAAAAUUAUGAGCAGACAGUGUGCAUAAAGUCCAGCAUUUAAAUAAAUAAAUAAAUAUAUAUAUAUAUAAAACAAGACACUUGUUUUACAAGCAUAGGAUUCUUUGACUGCCAGUUAAAAAUUAUAAGCAGACAACGUGCAUAACCGUAUAGUCCAGCAUUAUAUAUAUAUAAUAUAUGCACGCGGGGUAGUGAACUAAAGUUAGCAAUUAUUUCACAUGGGAUGAUGAUUCAACUCGUCACGUUAUUAUUUGUUAACGAUUCCGUACGCUUACAAAUUUUGUUUGAAUACUCUUCAUAUGGGUUCGAACAGGAUUGUCAUGCAAGCAGAAUGAUGUGGAGUGUGAGUCUAGAUUGUUUGUUACGUGUCUGUUGUGUGGCCAUGCUUGGAGUCUCGAAGAAAGAAGCGUAACAGAUGCUAAAAACAAAUUGUACUUGAUUGAGUUUAUAAAUAGAAUUAAGUUAAGUGUACAAGUAUGAUUGACAACAUUGGUUGAUGAACAUGUAUUGUCAAAAUUUAAGUGUUUGAUGUAGAAAACAAUUAUUUUUUUUAAAAAAGUGGAUGAAUAAUUGAAUAUAAUAACGUCAAGUAGGAUGUUAUCAACCAAUAAUGUCAACAAACAUUGUACAUAUAUACAUAUAGUAUGAUUGUUAUAAAUGUUUUAUAAGCCCCCGUUUGGCCUCCCAUUUUUUGAAAUGAAAACGUGUGAAAUAAUAUUUUUUUGAAAAUUAAGUGAUUGGAAAAAAAAAGGAAAAUUUUUCGAUUUAUGUAUAAUAUUAUUUUAUGAAAGAUUGUGUAGUUGAAAAUAGAAGGAGGAAAAAUAAAAUAUAAUAUAAUGGGACUAAAUUGAUUGCCAAAAGCAAAUUGCAUAGAAUCGUACAUGCAGGAACAGUGUACUAUUUUCAACUUUAAAUAUCAACCAAGCACUUCUUAUCCUCUGAAACCAUUUAAAAAAACGUGCAUGUAUUUAUGCAUUCUAUAUAUUCUACAUUUCUUGAGGAGUUUCAGUAGUUUGAGUUUGAAGAAGAAAAGAUGUCUAUAGUUGUGAGAAUUCUGUCGUUGGGAUGGGCUAUCAUGAUGAUUACGAGUAUUACAAAUGUUGCAGAUGGAGCAAUUCCUAAUGAUUUGCAGGAAAAGAUUUCUAUCAUAAACAAUGAUGGUCCUUACUUGGGUAUUGUAGUGCCCAACAGUUUUGAGAUGAACCCUCUUCUCCAAUCUUCAAGUUUUGUUCCUCAUUCCACGCUUUCCUACUUGGAUUUUGCAGGUUAGACAACUAUUCACUUGAAAUUUAAUUUAUUGCUUACUUUGAUUUUGUGUAAGAUGAACUAUUCGGUACCAAACGGUAAAAUAUAAAAAAUAAAAUAAAAUAAAGUGGUAUAAUCUUGUCUAGUGCUCCACACUUUUGUCUAAUGUUAUAAUGGUGAAAAAUAAUUUAUUUAUUCAAACGUUAAUAUUAAUUAACUAUUGAAAACAAAGUUUAGAUACUGUUGUUGUCAAUCUUCUCGUAAUAUGUUUGGUUCUACCAAAUCUUCAAGGAGACAGCAAGAAAUAGCAUAAUAUCCAGUUAUAAUAUUCCAAAAUCUUAUGCUUAUUUUCUUCAUCUUCUGCAUUGAAACAGGAAGAAGAUUUCGAUUUGGAACUUUGGAAAGUCGAAAAGUUAUCAUUGUCAUGUCCGGACUCAGCAUGGUAUGUUCAUUUUUGUAAUACCCUACUUACAAGGAAAAUUCAAUGAUUUAUUUCUUCCCAUUUUUCAGAGGUACAACAUAAUUAAUUUAAAUUAUUAUUUCAUAGCUUAAUGCAGGAUUAGUAACACAGUUGCUGCUUAGUAUAUUCGAGAUUGAAGGAGUAGUUCACUUUGGAAUAGCAGGAAAUGCAAAUCCUAACUUACAAAUAGGAGAUGUUACUAUCCCUCAUUAUUGGGCUCAUUCAGGCGUUAUCUCACUACGUAAAACCCAUCGAUUUAGAUGCUCCGAAAACUAUCAAAAUAAGCUGAGAAAAGCACUAGAUCAUUUUCACGUGUAGUGUAUACUCACAUAUAUUCCCAUUAAAUGACUUUGUUUAAAUCCUUGCGCAAUUUUUUUGAUCAGAGGUUUGGAGAUGGGCCUGAUGAUGAACUUGCAUUUGAAUCUAAUGGAGACUAUACAAGAAAAAUCGGUUAUCUUAAUUUCUCUCAAUAUGAAAAUGGCACAAAAAAUGGGAAUUAUUCAGGCAACCUUCUCAACAAUGUGUGGUAUCAAGCGGAAGAGAUAUUUUCCAUUGAUGGACAACCUGAGAUUAGACAGCAUGCCUUUUGGGUUCCUGUUGACAAGCUGUACUUUUCACUUGCAGAAAAACUUGAGGUUAAUUUUCUACUAUCUUGGCUUAAUCUCUUUUGACACCAAAGUUUAUCUACUACAAUGAAACUUUACUGAAAGACUUACACUAACCACAAAUAUGAUUAGCCCAAAAGAUUGACACAUUUGUUUACUUAAAUUUAGUUUUUAAUUUUCGCUUUUCUGUACAGGAUAUUGUCCUUGAAAAGUGUGUCAAUUCUACUACGUGUUUACCUCGAUCUCCAAAGGUAUUUAGAGUGGAAAGAGGAGUGAGUGCUAAUGUGUUGUUAGACAAUGCUGCCUAUCGAAAUUUCUUGUAUUCCAAGUUCAAUGCAACUCCGGUCGACAUGGAAAGUGCUGGAGUAGCCCUCGUAUGUCUCCAACAAAGGACCCCUUUUAUAGCAAUUAGGGCACUAUCUGAUUUAGCUGGUGGUGGUUCUUCUCUCUCCAAUGAAGCUGCUAUCUUCUCUUCACUAGCUGCUCAAAAUUCAGUUACUGUUCUACUUAAGUUCAUUACCUUGCUGUUUUCGCAACCUCAAGUUAUUUAACUUUUAACCGUUGGUACCAAAAAUAAAGCAGCUGAUUCAGUAGCAUGGGUUGAGAUAAAGGCCCGGUGUCAUUAUGGACACAAUCCAAUAAAGUUAUUAAUCAAUGUUGUUCCUAUUGAAGUUCAUUUUAUAAUGUUUUUCUUAUAAUGUUGUUUAUAUAAACCCCAUAUGGAAUGCAAUUAAGAGUAAUACACAAAUAUCUGCAUUGAUAUUCUAUUAAAAAAGAAUAAUGACGUGAACCAAUAGAAAUCGCCUCCCAAAUGGAUAUAUCAAGAAAUACAUGGCUAGAAAUAUCCAGUACUCUCUAGAAUCCACCAAAGAGAGACAAGAAUUCCAAGAGAAUGACAAAUAUAUCUCAAACAAAAAUAGGUUUAUAUUCAAAUAAUUGUGUUUCUACCUUCAAGGAUUUUCAAGAUUAUAUUUAAAUGAAAGAAACGUCUAUAUUAAGUUACAAAUUCGUGCAUUUAGAUUCCAAAGAAAUUGAAGAAUCAUAGGAACUAUCUUGAACCAGAAAAGAAGUGACUUUUAGCAUCCCCACGAAUAGACUUUUCAACACGACCACAUUGCUUUGAAAUUUUGAGUAGGAAAGUCAAAAAGGAGAUCCAUAAAUUGCUUUGAAAUUUUGAAUUGAUAACCCAAUGAUAUAUUAUUUUAUAUCUAAUAUGUCUCAACAUGUCUCAUAAUUUAGUUGAAGUGACACCAAAAUUCUACACCUUAAAACUCUAAAGCACCAAAUUUGACUUCCUUGUUUACUCUUUAAUUAUUCCAAUUUACUAUUUUUACUUUUAUUUGACAAAACACAAAGUUUUGUUUGAUUUUUGAUCUAAAUUAAACUAACUUAAUGUAUGUUAAUGUAAACAAAAAUCGAAUUAGGUUUUUUGAAUAUGAAGAAGAUAUUAAGGCAGCCAAUUUCAUUUAUUGAUCAACUUUAAUUCCUUAAUCAAGAAUCCGAACUAAAUAUCGUGUUUGGUCUAAUACUUCUAAUGUAUUAGAUUUAUCUAUCUUAAGUUCAAAUUGAUUCUAUUCCAUAUCUUUAUGUGAAUCAUGAUAUACUAAACAUUAAAUUUUUAAGAAUUCAUUUAAUAACUGCAUUAACUGUAAAAUGUAUCUUUAUACUAGAAUCUUGAAAAUUGAAUGAACAAGGUUUCCAUAAACUACAUCAUUUGCCCUAACAGAAAGUUUAGUUUCGCAUAUUGAAUGAAGAAAGGCAAAAUUAUUAGUGAAUAAAUCUCUAGAUUUUGAAUGAAGAUGUAGAAAAGUGUAUGAAUCUUGCACCAAGAUCCUCUUCAAUCAACGCUUCAAAUCCUGGACUUGAUAUCUUGAUUUAUUGCUUUUCUUCUAUGUGUUUCUCUCUAAUUCUUAAUUUGUGGAACAUUUUUUCCUCUCAGUCAAGUCUUUAUGCAGUAUUAUAAUUUUAGAAUAGUUCCCAUCGAAAAAAAUACAAAUAUUUGCAGUUUACCCUACAAUUUUCCAAAGCUUCCAUUUUGGUCCCCAAAAUUGCCAAUUAUCAAUUUUUUUAUCCUUAUUCUUUUGAAUUCAUUCAAUUUCUCAAAACAUGUUUCAAUCGAUUGAUUUCAAUCUCAGAUGGUCUUCAGGUGUUCAAAUUAUUCUCCAAUCAAGUUCAAAUCACCACUUUUUGCAUCAAUCAAACUCAACGUUGAUCUUUUCCUACAUAUCACAUAAUUAGGCAGCAAUCCACUCAAAUUAAUCAUAAUUUAUCAAGAUUAAGAGCAAAAAUAAGCAUAUAAAAUACACUUAUCAACACCAUAAACAUAAACUUUUGUUUGCCUUGAACAAGAUUAUCAACCCAAUACACAUGCAUGCAACAAUUAGCAAGUUAGAUAGUCUAUUGUAUUUGCUUUAGGAGUCGAAACUGUGACUGUCCAAAGUUAACACCACCUCGAUGAUUGAGACAUGGUGAGAAAAUUGGGACUUUUCUGUCGAUUGGUUCUUCUUCUAGAGUGGGUAUAUCUUCUUCUGCAUUCUCUUCCUUUGCUUCUACUACCAAUCUCCCUUGCUUGUGCCGAUUUAUCUGUGACUUUGACUAUCUCGUUAUUGUAAGGCAUAUAAGUGGUGUCACCUUUUUUUUCUACUUCAAAUAGUGUCAUAGGUACUCCAGCUCUUUUCCACAAUGCAGAAAUCAAACUAGGCAUUGUUAGUUUUGUGUGAUCUCUAGGAAACAUAGGACGAUCCCUGAUUGUGUUGAUGAUGAUUUAUCCAAAAUUAAGUUGUAUCUCAUGGCUAGUUUGUACAGAAACGUAAUCUUUAAUAUAUAAAUUACAGUAAUACAGUAUUGUAUAUUGUUGGGAUCAUGUUGCUUGAGAGAAAAUGAUGGAAGAUACAUAGUUCAUCAUUCAUAUUUCCAUGAUCAACUAUGUUGGUGGUUGGCCAACCUUAGGCUUGGCCCUUGAAUAUACGAAUUGCGCUACUGUGUCCUAAUCAAUGGUCUUAGUACUUUAGACCUUUCUUCAAUAUUAUAAUACACUUGAACACACAUAUGUUUUAGAUAGUCCUCGCUUUCUUCCUCUAUAUCAUCUACAUUGAAGCUACACAUGAAUUCGCUUUCUACGUAUGUGUAAACCUUAUUGGGUUUAGCAUACAGUUUGGUCCACCCCUUUUCCCUGACAAUGUUCAGUAUGUUCAUGAGUUGGAUUUGGUCUAGUUGCACUCCCUGUGAAUAAGAGUCCAAUUAUUGAAUAUAUCUGCACAUUGUGCUAGUUCCUAAAAAAUAUAAGUUUCAUAAGACAAAAGCUCGAAUUGAGCCCCCUUUCUAGUGCUAGAGGACUCGAUAAUUCCCUUUCGCUUAUUUGCUCUAAAGAUUGUUGUUCUUGGAGGUAUUGUAAAUGAGUUAUAUCCUACAAAUGUAAAUAAGAUGUUAGGCCAAAUUAUAUUUCAUCAACUUGUAUAAGGAAAAUAUGUAUUAAUGAUAUAUGCAAGGAUGAAGUGAAUAACGUGACUCAAUUGAAAUUUUCAUUAUGUGUGAGGAUUGUGGAGUGGACAAACACCCCCAAACUUAAUGUGAUAUAGUAGCACAAGAGUAUAGGGUUAUAGUAGCUAAAAUUGAAUUGAAAACCUUUUAACUAACACUUGAUGUAUAAGGGAAAUUCUUAGGUCUAAUCCAUUCCUCUCUACAUAAUUGAUAUAUUACACUUGGAACAAUAAGGAAUUAUGGGUAAAAAUUGACAAACACCUAGUUGUAGACUUUCAACAAACACAUUGUGUGCAAAAAAAAAGUUCCAACCAAAAUCCACUAAUUAUCAAUUCUCAAACAAGACCCACAUUCUUCAAUCUAACAUCCUUAAAUCCAAUCCCAACAAACUCCAAUUCAAUGUUUUCCUACAACCAUUUGAAAAAUAAGUUUUUUCAAAAUAGUAGAAAAAUUCAAAAAGUUAUAAACUUACCUUGAAGAUUAUGAAUUAAGUGAAAGUGGAUUUAAAAUACUCUUCUUUUGAUUAAAUCAAAUAAUUUUCCUUGCAGAGUAAGAGAUAAAAGAAGAUUUCUAGUCGUGAAGGGUAGAGUAGUUAGGGUUUUGUGAGGAGAGAAUGAGAAUAUUUCAGGGAAAAGUGAAGAUGAUUAUGAUUUUGAAAGUCUCAUAUUUUUAUGUUGUCAAAUAUUUAUUUUUUAGUAUUUAGUUUAGCCAGUAACAAAAAUAAGAAAAGAAAAGGUCAAAGUUAAAAGGCCUGGAUAUGGUCGUUAGUUGGAAACCUUCUUAUUCUUCUUCUUCUUCUUCUUCUUUUUUUUCAUUUUUUUUAUAAUUUGAAAAAACGUGCAUAUGCAUUCCUAAGUGCUAUAUACAACGUUAUUAUGAAAAAAUUAAAAAGAUUAUAGUUUAAAAUUGCAUUUUCUCUCUUUAGUCCUUGUUUUAUAGUCUUUUAGUUCGACUUUAGCCACAAUCAUUCUGGAACGGCCAUAUCAAGGGUAUCUUUCGUUGUAUGGAAGUCCUCUACAAAAUGUUUGACACUUUGUCCAUUAACUUUGAAGUUUCCCUUUAUUGGAUGAUAAAUUCAAUUGUACCAUAGGAAAUUACUUGAGCUACCAUAAAAGAUAUAGACCAUCUUGAUUUUGGCUUUUCCGAAAGAAGUUUCAAUAUGGAGUUGUACAAGAGAACUUGGUCCCCAUUUCUGAAAACUCGUUGCUGAAUGUUUUUUUCAUGCCAUUGUCUUCUUUAUAGAUAUCUACACUAUAACUGCAAUAUUCUUGUUUUCCCAGCGUUUUCUAAAUCUAUAUUCAGCUCCUUCAGUGUCCAAUAUGCUUUAUGCUAGAAUUCCACGGGUAAAUGACACGUAUUUCCAAAUGCAAACCAGUAUGAUGAAAUCCCAAUCGGUGUCUUUAAAGCAGUACGGCAUGCCCAUAUUGCAUUAUCUAACUUUUUAGACCAAUCAUUAUGAGAUGCAUUCGCACUAAAUUCUAAGAUCCUUUUAAAUUGUCUAAUCAAAGUCUAAGUCUGUCCACGUGUCAAAGGAUUAUUUUUUAAGAGAAGCUCGAACAAUCUAUUUUUUGUACUAUGAUUCACACACUGAAUUGACCACUACUGCAUUUGCUCCAUCUGUUAAAGAUUUUAUUAAUAACUCCAUUUGCUUUGUCAAAACAAGAAUAUGCACAUUGGUAGAUUUCAUGUUGUCCAACUCAUUAAUUCCAUUUGCUAUCUUUGGCACUACUGUUUCAGAUGAAAACAUGAAGUGUGUAGUUGUAAUCAACUACAAUAAUUCCAAAAAAUUGUUGAACUAGUUUACUAAUAAUGGACCCGCUUGCUAAAAAUCUACCUAAGAUCUGAUGAUUUGGCCAUUGGUGAUUGUAUGGCAUAGAAAUACUCUGUUGAUUACCUUUGCUUAUCUCAUGAUUUGGACAAUUUCUCAUUAAAUCUUUGAAUAUAUUCCAACCUUUGUGGUAACUUUCUGCUUCACGUUGCUAGAAUGUAUGGAUUUCAUGUUGAACUUUUGUUACUUUUGUAGGUGGGAAGAAUUUAUUAUAGAAUUUCCUUGCUAAGUCCUCCCAAGUAGUGAUACUACUAUGAGGCUCAGAAUCCAACCACUCAAAAGCUACAUCUCUCAAUGUAUAUGAAAAUAAGUAUAUCUUGAUUACAUGUUCAUUAAUCCCUGUAAGCUGAAAGUUUUGGUAAUUCUGUAGAAAUCUUAACAUAUGUGUGUUCGGGAUUUCAAAAGUAAAUUCUUAAAACUCGAGGAUGUUGCUAUUCAAGUUAAUCCAAUUAGCACUUAUCUGAAAGUUAUUCUUCCCAAAAUCUAGUUAUACAAUACUGGAUAAGUCGAAUGCAGCUAUAGGAGUCAAGAACAUUGACAUUGAAAAGCCUCCUUCAUCUUUCUCAACUAGUUCGCCAUGUUGAAUUUUGGUUCCGCUAUCGUAACGGCUCCUUUGUGCAAUUGGCAAUCUCAAAAUAUUUUGCUCUUCUUCUAUCUGAUGUUCUUAUUUUUGUUUGUGCUCCUUAAGUCUUAGUUUAAAAGUAAGUUCUAUUUUUGGAUCAAAUGAUUCCAGAGUGUUGCCUUAAGAAUGGAGCACAUAACGAACACCUUUUUAUUUGUAAGAAAAAUAACUAACCAAGUAAAAAUAAAACAAUCAAGUAAAAGUAAAACAUAAAAUAAAUAGUCCAAGCAACGGUGCCAAAAUCUUGUUACCUUUUUCCUAUCGCAAGUGUACGAUAUCAAAAAAGUAAUAUAACGGACAUUUGAAUCCAGAUAAUCAUUCCCACAGAAGCUAUUUUUGUUCCUAGUUUAUAAUUUCUACUUCUAUUUUGCGAAAAAAAAAGUUUAGUUUGAUUGUUAUUCUAGAUUAUACUAAAUUAACGUAAUGUACAAAGAAAUUGAAUUAGGUUUUUGAAUAUGAAGGAGACAUUAGGGUUGACAAUUUCAAUAUUGAUCACCUUUAAUUCCCUAACCAAGAAUCUUAUCUAAAUGUUGUGUUCAGUCAAAUUCUUCUAACAUAUUCAAUUUACCUCUCUCGAUUCAAAUUGAUUCUACUUAACUAAGUAAAUUCCAUAUUUCUGUGUGAAUCAAGAUAUUCAUUGGCUAAAAGCAUUAACUUCCUGGAAUUCAUAUAACAACUGCAUUAACUAGAAAAGGCAUAUCUACGCUUUUAUACUAAUUUCCAGAUUGUACUACAUGGUCUAAACCUAUAACUUACCUCACGACAUGUUUAUAAGUUCACAAGAUCAUUGAAUUAUUGGCCAAGAAAUUGAAAUUAUUCAAUAUCAUAAAUAAAAUAAACACAAAUGAAAUUGAGAACAAGAAUCUUGAAAAUUGAAUUCAAGGGCUUCAGUAAAUUACAUUGUUUGCACUAACAAAAAGUUUAGCUACACGUAUUGAAUGAAUAAAAAAUAAAGAAUUAUUGUUGAAUGCAUCGUUGGGUUUUGAAUGAAUAUGUAGGAAAAUGGACGAACUUGCACCAAAAUCCCCUUCUUGUCCAAAUCAAAGCUUCAAAUCCUAGUCUUGAUAACUUGAUUUCUUACUUCUUCUUUUUAUGUGUUUCUCUUAAUUCUCAAGUUGUGGAUCCUGUUCUUCCUCUCAUCAAAGUCUUUAUAUAAUAUUAUACUUUUUAUAAGAGUUCCCUUUUAAAACAAGCUCAAAAGGACGAAAAGAAAAGAAAAACAUACAAAACUAAUCGGGCCACGGGUAGGCUGCAGGUUGCAAGCCAGUAGGCCAAUUGUGGCAUACAAGAUACAACAAUGGCUGCAAGUCGACUGCGGGUUCCACCUAGGGUCCACUUUUUCUUAUUUUCAAAUCGGCCCUCCAAUUUUCAAAACUUUCAUUGUGGUCUCCAAACUUUUUAAUUAUUAAUUUUUUUGUCCUUAAACUUUUGAAUUCAUCCAAUUGCUCCGAAACUUCUUUCAAUUGAUCUAUUUCAAUUGAUGAUCUUCAAGUUUCUAAAUUAAUCUCCAAUCAAGCCGAAAUCACCACACUCAACCUUGAUAUUUUCCUAAAAAUCACAUAAUUUCAGAUAAUUGGGUAGCAAUUCGCUCUAUCAUAAUUUAUCAAAAUUAAAGCCAUAAAUAAGCAUAUAAAACAUAUUAUUAGUCCAAUUUCAUUAGCUUGACACUACUUGUACUACUAGGAGGGUCGAUCAAAACUUUGAUAAAUAAUUGACUCUAUUUAUUUGACUUUUCAUAAGACCUUCAAUCUUUCGACAUUACUAUGUCUCAAUUUAAGUAACGCAUAACAUAACAUUUUGCAUCAUAUAAAAGGAUAUCGUUAAAGGAAAUUUGGUAGGAUUACCUCAAAAAUAUGAAACAAAUUUUGAUGACCACAAACAUCCUUUAACUGAAAAGGAAAUUGCUUGCGUGAAUCCAUAUCUACUAAUUCCAUUCAGAAAUUGAAAUAUUCAUUGUUGACAAUAUCCAUAAAAUAAUUGUCAUGUUUGAAGUUUCUUCAAUUAAGACGUUAUUCUAAAGUUUAAUUGUUUUUUUAAAUAUUGUGCAAAUGAGUUUUCUUUAUUUGGAGCAACGUGCAAAUUCGUCCAUCAUUUUGGCUAAAAUAAGAAAUUAUGAUCCAAGUACACAUCAUCAUCAUACAAAUUUAUGUCUCUAUUUAUAGACAACCACAUGUUUUUUACUUGUAUUUUCAGCGGGGAAAAUAUUGAAAUCAAAGAAUCUUAUUCGUAUCAAACAAGUGUAUGGUUAGAAAACUAUGUCCAGUGGGCUAAAUCACAUUUUUGUUCGGAACUAUGAUCAAAAUGAAGUUAAUAAUACUCUGUUGUUUUUGUAGUAUCAAAUGACAAAUCUCAAGUUUAUUUGACUUAAAUCAAUGAGAUUGAUGGUUAAUGUUAGUCCUAAUCAAGUUCAUUUUACUUCGUUGUCUUCAUAAUGUCAUUUAUGUAAUUGAACAAGAAAUUAAUUCAUUUGUAAUAUCAUUAAUAUAGUAAUACAAAUGUAUGUGUCGCUGAUAUGUUGAAAUAGAAUAAUUCAUGGAGAAACUAAAAUAUAUAGACAAAUAUUACGAAAUUUAUUGAUUUGUGUAUUUUAUACACUUAUCAGAUCCUAAAAUAGCGAUAUUUGAUAGUUCAUUUGACAAAAAUAUAUCAUAAAUUGUUGUAUUUUAUGUCAUACAAGUAAAACUCAAUGGUUGAAUGAAGAGAAAUUGAAAGAAAGAAGCAAGAGGAAUUGAAAGAAAGAAGAAAAAAUUGGUGAAAAAUGUGAAAUCCAAAGUAUGGGGACUAAAUUACAAUAUUCUAAUAGCUGAUUUGGACCAUGAAAUGAAGAUUAAAAAUGUUCUGGGUUUAAUUGUAUGCAAUUGAAAAUUUAAGGAACAAAAUUACAAGAGAGAGUGGCUGAAAUGAAGUAAAAUUAAUGUUUGAAGACUAUAGUGCAAAUAUCGAAAACUUGUGUCAAACCUUAUGAUGAAGAUUCUAGAGUGUUAGGGGUCAAUAGGAGGAAAGAAGUCAAGGGGAUGAAAUAUAGUCAAAAUAUUAUCACAUAUCAACUUUCAAGUAAAAAAGUUAUGCUUCAGACUUUCAGUUUCUGCUUGAAACCAUUUUUGGCAUAGGAAACAUUCAAAUCGGAAAAAUUAUAUUUCUAGAAAAAUUUGGCCAUUGAGUUAUCUUUCCAACACACUUUGAAUCACUUCAAUAAGAUAUUCGGAGAGAAAGAUAUGACUAAAAUUCUAAAGUCUAUCUAACGGAAAGGAAAUUGAACUAUACAAUCGCAUCCUAACAUGCAGGGACAAACUUGGAGCUCAACAAGCGAACUAUGCAGUCGCAUCCUAAUGUACUAUACGAUCACAUAGUACAAGAUUUUGACAGAAUCUCAGAUUUCUUUAUACAAUUAAAACUCAACUUGGUAAGGUUUUGGGCAACAUCUUUGACCUAGAUACGAGUCAUACAUAUAUCAGAACAUCCUAUGUACAUUUAUUCAACAAAAAAACUCAAGAAUUUGAAACAAAUAUGUUGAAAAAGAGAGAAAAUUCAUCUUUGAGGAAGAUUUCAACCAAGGAAUUGCAAGAAGAUCAUCGACGAGACUUUAUACCAAGAAUUUUGCACAAAGAUUAAAAGGAAACCUCAAAAGUUAUCAAGAAUCCAUCAUUUUCUUUAGUAUUCAAAUUCUAGGUGAUGUUUAUUAAACAUAGAAUGAUUUCUUGUAAAUUCAAUAUGUUUGGCUAGAUAUUUGCAUUGCUAGGAUGAGAAGAACACUUGUUAUGAGAUUUUUGGUAUUAAUUAAUUAUUUUGACGUUUAGUAUGUAUGUUUUCUUGGAUGUUUGUUAUUGUUUUCACCGACUUCUCAAUUGAUUAGCUACUAAUUGGGAUGAUUUAUUGGAAUCUAUUGUUAUUGAGAGAGAUAAUAAGUUUUUACCUAAAAAUAAUAAAUAUUGUAAGGUUUGAUAAUAUCUAUACUUUACAUGGUUUUCAUAGGUAUUCUAGAUCAUUUAAUGCAUUUAUCAUGUUCAUAUCUUUUAUCGAGAUAUAGGAAAGUCACAUGAGGGCAAUAAAUUUGAUAACUAUCGAGAGAUGUUUUUAAUUAAAUUAGGAAUAUUGAUCAACAAUAAUGACUACAAAUUGUCGCUUUAUUUUGUUGUGCUUAAAUUGGAUUAGCAAGGGAGAUUUGACAUCCUAGCAAUACUUUCACAUAUUUGAAAAACUAGUUAAAUUGCUUCUAGUUUGAUUUAUAACUUAAGUAUUAGUAUAGAAAACUCAAAACUUGUUCCUAUUCGAUUAAGGCUAUUAUUAACUUGAACUCAAUCAAAUACUUAAUCCUUUUGGGUUUGACACUCUACAUAUUACUAUAUUACUUGUUCAUGAUCCCGUCCACUUACAAGGAAUCAAACGACCAUGGAUAGAAAUUGAUCCUACAAAAUAUGUAGGUAAAAAUUUGUUUGAUAAUCUUAGAUUAUAUUUUCAAAUUUUCUCAAACAUGCGUUAACUUUUUAGCAGAAAAGCUAAAGGCUAAGCACGGUUCAUGUCAAGUUUGGACUAAAGUGUAGAAACCCAGGAAUAAGACAUAUCUUGGAUAACCUUUGUUCACUCGACUACUCAAGUCUGGCACGAUCUACUUGCACAUGUUGUUUGAUUAAUGACAAAAUUUGUUUCCAAUUUCAAUUGAUCCACCUCGAACUUGGUUAUUUGGCCCAUUUUUACACCCCUAGUUGGCAAUAACUUGUUUGUUAAAUGUUAAUAACUCCACAAAACUUGAAAUUACCUCUCAAAAGUAAUUCUAUGUGUUACAUGAAGAAAUGAUUAACUUUCGCAAAAUAAUUCACUAUUUCUUGAUCUAUUGCCAUUGGCAUUGGCAAACUCCAUGAUUUUUUUAGUUGUUUGGUGUAUCUUCAUUUCAUAAGAGAACCAAAAUGAUAGGAAAAGAUGAUUAUCACCUUUCAUUGUUGUGUUUUAAUAUUUACCUAAUGCAUUAUUUUAGUCAAAAGCACCUAUGAAAUUAUUUUAGUUGAACAGUAACCAAACAACUUAGCAUUUCUAUUAGGUAUUUUAAUAUCAAAUAAACUCAGGACAAUAAUGAAAAAUCAGGUCGGAUUAAUUUCAUAGGAUUUGAGCCAAAUUAUUGAACAUUGUUUAAAGAUUGACCUCAGUAAUAAUUGGCGGGCCAUAAUCGAGAUGGAUGGAGAAUCCCACAAGUGUCAAUUAGAGGCAACUAGGGCUUGACCUAUUUAAUAUUUACUUGGGCCAUUUAGAUGACCUACCCUCUACUGUUUGAGAUAAAGAUACGCUACAUACGCUGCUUUCCUUCCUUACCUCUUACUGCACAAUUCUCUUUGGUUUUCUUUGUGACCUUAGCCCUACAACCGGUAGCCCCUGUUUGCGGGCCGUUGGGAUUCUUGGGUCCAAUUGGUUAUGUGAACAAAUAGAAAUCUCCGCUCAAAUGUAUCUAUCAAGGAAUGCAUAAUUAGGAAAACUUAGCACUCUCUAGAAUCCACCAAAAGAGAUGCAUGAAUUUAUAGAGAAUGAUUAGUACCUCUCAAAUUAAAGUAGAUUAAUAUUCAAAUACUUUCGUUUCUACCUUCAAGGCUUAGAAGAGUGUGAUUUAAAUAGUCGAGACUUGGAACAACCUUCCAAACAUAGGCAUUUUCGUAAGAAUUCUGAUAGGCCCUUGUCAAAUACACCUAUUCUAGAAGGGUCAAGAAGGCGGUAGAGGACUUGGGUAAGUGUAAGUGUACAAGCAGCCUUCCACCCUAUAUCCUUGGAGGCAUAACCUGCGAUUUAUCUCCCUCACGAUGCUCCAGGGCAGGGGCGGUGGGGGACCCUUAAGGUUGGGGUUUAACCUUUUAAGAAGGCGGUAGAGGAGUAACAAAUUCUGUUGAGCAAAGAUGACAUGGCUAGAGUUAGUUACAGAUGAUGGUUAUAAAUAGAAUAGAUGCAUGGAGUCAAGGGAUAUGGAAAAAGUUUGUAAGCAAGUCUUAAUAGGAAAGUCAGGCCCUCUCGAACGGCCUCUACCAGUUACUGUGUUUGAGUUGUAUUUCUCAUUCAAUCAAUACAAUUAGUUUUCUCUUCCUAUUUUUCUCUUAUUUUUCCUUGAUUUUACAGUAGGACCCUAUCAUUGUGGCAUUAAAGCACCCUGUUCCUUUCGCAGUCAUGACUCUGGUGGACUAAGUAAGUGUGUUGGAACAAAAGGUGGACUGUAAUCAUCGUCAACUACAAACUAACCUGGAGGUAUUAUGAUUAGAGUUUCAUUCAAUGCAUACAGGCAUUAUGGAGAAGGUGGAUGUGCUGCUACAAGAUUGGGCAAGCCAGGAGAGAGAUUGCAAGGAAAAGGAGAUGGUAAAAUUACUAGCAUCAUCUGUCGAGUUUGGGCCAACCUAUUCCAGACCAAGUAGAAGCCAAUACAAGGGAGAUGGAGCUCUAGGAAAUUGGAGAGAAGAGUGGUGCGUAAGGCAUUUGGAUAUGCCUGUGUUCGACGACACGAAAUCAGAUGGUUGGAUUUUAGGGUGGAAAGAUAAUUUGGGAUCAACACGAUGAUCAAAGAAGAGAAGAUGGAUGCCGUUGUCGUAUGUUUGGACAAAGAGGCGUUAAUCUAGUUUAAAUGGGAGGAGAAAUGGUGGUCGAUUCGAAACUGGGAGGAGAUGAAGCUAAGGCUGCUACGACAUUGUCGAGCUUCACAAGAAGGGAAGUUGUGUGUCCAAUUUUUGGUAGUUAGGAAAGACACCACAAAAAGGUCUUAUCACCAGGGACUUGAAAUGUUGGUUGCACCCAUUGAACGGUUUAUCGAAGAAAGUGCUAGAAGAAAGUUCUAUGAAUGGGUUGAAGCCAAAAUUGAGGACAGAAGUCCAAUUAUAUAGGCUUUCUGGGCUGGAAAAAUGAUGGAAAUAGCCCAGAUGGUGGAAGAAAGAAAUUGAGUCGUAAAGGUUGGACAGUGGAGCCUAGGUCCAACAAAAUCUAAAGCAAUCACUCCUCCUAAUCCAAACUCCUCCUAAAGUCUUAACCCAAUACCCAAGCCCACCAUCCCUCUUAAUAUCAUCCUAAAUCAUAUGGCCGUCCCUAGUUUAUUCCCAAAACAGACCGUUCCGUUCAAACGACUCACAAAUGUCGAGGUACAAACUAAGCGUAAAAGGGGAUUAUGCUAUCGAUGUGAUGAAAAGUUUACGAUCGGCCACCAGUGUAAGAAUAAGGAGCUCCAAGAGCUUGUGAUCAGAGAGAUAAAAGUCACGUCGGAGGAAGAGUUGGCACACGACAGCAGUGAGGAAAGGGCUGUAAUUGGGAACACCGAAGUAGAAAAGGCUGAAGUAAAUCAGGCCAUUGAGCUGUCAAUUAACUCGGUUGUUGGACUCACCACUCUGGGAACGAUGAAGCUGAACUGUAAACUCGGCCAAAGGAGGUAGUUGUACUUAUUGAUAAUGGAGCAUCCCAUAAUUUUGUCAGUUCUGAAAUUGUUCAAUACCUGGGCAUUCCUUCGUCUGGAACCCUACGGUAUGGAAUGAUUAUGGGGAUGGAUCUCACUGUAAAAGGAGAAGUUGUAUGAAAACAGAUAUCUCUGAAGUUACAAAACAUGCUGGUGGUAGAGGACUUUUUACCCUUGGGGUUAGGGAGCUUGGAUGUCAUAUUGGAGAUGCAGUGGCUGCAAAAUUGGUAAGGAUGCAAGUAGAUUGGAAUACUUUGACGAUGACUUUCAACACAGCAGGAACCACGAUGACCCUUCAAGGAGACCAAAGUCUAAGUAAAACUCCAGUGUCACUAAGAAUGAUGUGAAAGUUUUUAGAGAGCAAGGAGAAGGGCUCUUGUUGGAAAUGGAAAAAAUCAUUAUUGAGGCCAAAAGAGCGCCUGAGCCACAAAAAAUCAUUGUCGAGGUAUUGAAGGAGUUUUCUACAUUUUUCGAGAAUAGCAGUAAGUUGUCCCCCCUCAUUGAGCUCAUGGCCAUUCUAUCAACCUACAAUCAGGAGCAGGCCCAAUUUGCACGAGGCCGUAUAGAUACCUGUAAUUCUAGAAAAAUGAAAAAUUGAGAAUUUAGUACCAAAAAUGCUUUCUAUAGGAGUUAUUUAGCAUAGCACAAGUCUAGUGCUCCUUGUGAAGAAAAAGGACGAGAGUUGGAGGUUUUGUAUUGACCAUCUGGCAAUGAUCAAGGUGACCAUUGUAGACAAAUUCCCAAUUUCUGGUCAUUGAUGAGCUGUUGGUUGAGCUACAGGGAUCAACCAUUUUUUUUGAAAAUUGAUCUAAAAUCAGGGUAUCAUCAAAUUAGGGUGAAGACUAGAGACAUUCCAAAAACUGUAUUCCACACUCACGAAGGCCAUUAUGAAAUCCUAGUUCUGCCAUUCGGCCUAAAAAAUGCAUUGGCAACCUUCCACCCUUUGAUGAACGAUAUAUUCAAGGUGCAAUUCUGAAGAUUUGUUCUAGUCUUUUUUGAUGAUAUUUUAGUUUAUAGCCGAACAGUAGAGGAGCACCAGGAGCAUUUGAGAUGGGUAAUACAACGGUUAGCAAAAUAUCAUCUAUUUGCCAAUAAAAAAAAAUGCUUGCUUGGUCAGAAAGAGCUAGAAUACCUCAAUCACAUAAUUUUAGGAAAGGGGGUAGCAGCUGAUGCAUCUAAAGUGGCCGCAACGGUAGCUUGGCCGUGACCAAAGUCCCUUAAAGAACUACGGGGAUUCCUUAGUCUAACAAGGUACUACCUGAGGUUUAUAAAAGCAUAUGGGAAGAUAGUGUGGCCACUAAUGCAACAAUUAAAGAAGGAUAACUUUGGAUGGAGUGAUGAGGUGGAGGCUGCUUUUGAGAGUGUGAAGAAGGCCAUGGUUUUGGCCCUAGUAUUGGCGCUUCUGAAUUUUUCAAACCUGUUUGUGAUCAAACCAAUGGAUUCAACCAUGGUUUGGGGGUGGUUUUGGUGCAACAUCAAAGACCCAUCACCUAUUUUAGUCAAGCUCUUCCAUCUCGAGUCCGUAGUAAGUCCAUUUAUGAAAUAAAGUUGAUGGCAAUCAUAUUUGCUGUGCAAAAAUGGAAGCACUAUCUGACUGGGAGGCAUUUUGUAGUCCAAAUUGAUUAGAAGAGUCUCAAAUUCUCAUUGGAACAACGACUAGUGAAUGAAGAACACCAAAAGUGGUUAACUAAGCUGCUGGGAUUUGAUUUUGACAUAGAAUACAAGCCUGGUUGGAAAAUAAAAUAGCAGAUGCCCUGUCCUGCAUUAAGUUAGCUACAACCUUGAUUACUCUUAGCAUACCAUGUGUACUACAGCAAGAUGACUUAUCAAAGGCAGUGAAGAAAGAUCCAGAGUUAACCCAAAUUCUCACAGCAUUACAAGCUGAUCUGUCGUCAUGCGUAGGGUUUGCACUGAUUUGGGGUGCACUAUUAUAUCAUGAAAAACUUGCCCUUCCUAAAGAUUUUCCAUUUGUGUUGUUAGCAUUACAAGAGGGACAUGAUAGCAAAAUUAAGUGUGAUGGGGGUUUCCUCAAGACAUAUAAAAGGAUAGCCAAAACAUUCUAUUGGAGAGGCACGAAGAAGGACAUUCGGGACUAUGUGGCAGCUUGUGCCACUUAUGAACAGAACACAUAUUCUACUCUCAUGCUUGUAGGGCUGCUUCAACCUUUAACAGUGCCAGAGGGAGUUUGGGAUGAUAUAUCCACGGAUUUUAUCGAAAGGUUGCCAAAAUCAGAUGGUUUUAACUCAAUCUUGGUAGUUGUGGAUCGUUUGAAUAGGUAUAUCACUUUGCGGAUCUCAAAUACCCCUUCUUAGUACCUUUUGUGGUGAUAGUUUUCAUUAAGAAAUAGUUCGAUUGCACGGCAUGCCACGAUCGAUAAUCUUUGAUCAUGACAAGGUGUUUGUCAGCAAAUUUUGGAGUGAGCUCUUUCAGUUGCAAAGCACUAAGCUAAGGUUGAGUUCAGCCUAUCACCCGUAAAUCAACUGUCAAACAGGGGUAGUCAACAGAAGCGUCGAAACAUAUUUGCGUUGCUUUACUUUUGGCAGGCUCGAGGAACGGUUUCAUUUUCUAUCAUGGGUGGAACUGUCUUAUAAAACCUCUUUCCAUGUGUCAACUCAAUUAACACGAUUUCAGAUCUUGUAUGGCCGGGAUCACCACCAGUCAUCCAUUUUGAGAAGGGGUCUAUCGUGGUAUCAUCACUUGAUCACCAGCUGCUAGAACGAGAUCAGUUAUUGGAUGAGCUAAAGAAGUAUUUGCAGCGAGCUCAACAAAAGAUGAAAGCUGCAGCUGACCAGCAUAGGAGGGUUGUUGAGUUUGCAAAUGGAGAGCUAGUCUAUCUGAGAAUGAGGCGCUAUCGUCUUAAAUCAUUAGCACAAUGUUUGAAUGAAAAGCUUGCUCCCAGGUACAAUGGGCCUUUGUAAGUGUUAGCAAAGGGUGGGCCAAUAGCUUGUAGACUGAAACUACCACUUGAAUCCUAAAUUCAUCCAGUCUUUCAUAUCUCUCAACUCAGAAACGCUGUGGGAAAAUUCCAUCUACUCUCCCACAAAAGCUAGGAGUAGAUUGGGAGUUAAAGGUAAAACUUGAAUCUCUAUUGGGAAUUCGUUCUGUACCAUUGGGCGAUAUUGAUAAGAUGGAGGUACCGAUUAAAUGGAUUGGGCUAUCACCAUUGGAAGCAACUUGUGAACCUUUUGAGUUCAUUAACCAACAAUUUCCUUCUUUCCACCUUGCGAACAAGGUGACUAAAUUGGGCGGGGUAAUUGAUAGGUCCCCUAUCAAAUACACCUAUUCUAGAAGGGUCAAGAAGGCAGUAGAGGAGUAAAAAAGUUCUGUUGAACAAAGAUGACAUGGCUAGAGUUAGUUACAGUUGGGAGUUAUAAAUAGAAUAGAUGCAUGGAGUCAAGGAAUAUGGAAAAGGUUGUAAGCAAGUCUUAAUAGGAGAGUCAUGCCUUCUUGAACGGCCUCUACCAGUUAUUGUGUUUGAGUUGUAUUUCCCAUUCAACCAAUACAAAUAGUUUUCUUUUGCUAUUUCUCUCCUGUUUUUCCUUGAUUCUACAGUACGACACUCUCAAGUUCUUAUAAAUUUUCCAAGAUCAAAUUUAAAUGAAAGAAAUAUGCUUAUUAAUUUAUAAAUUCAUGCAUGCAUAUUCCAAAGAAAUUGAAGAAUCAUAGGACCUAUCUUGAACCUGAAAAGAUGUGACUUUUAGCAUUCUCACAAUUAGAAUUUUGAACAUGACCAUUCUAAAGGAAUACAUCGACAACUUUGCUCACGAAAGUCAAAAUCAAUAUCCAUAAAAUGCUUUGAAAUUUGUAAUUAAUAACCAUUCCAAUGGUAUAAUAUUUUGUAUCUAACAUGUCACACGGUUUCCAAAAUUUUAUAACACAAAAAUUCUGCACCUUAAAAAUCUAAAGAAUUGAUAAAAGAAAUUAGACUUCUUUUGUUUGAAGUUUUUAAAUAAAAAUAAAGCAGUGAGCCAUGCCUUAAUUUCCGCCUAUUCUACCUAAGUAAACUUUAAUUACUCCUCAUCGUGAAUCUUAAUGCAUAAGCUUGACCCUACUUGACUACUAGUAGGGUCGAUCAAGACUUUGGCACAUAAUCAACUCUACGACUUUUUGAUCAUUAUUCAUUUGACUUUUCUUAAGAUUGUCAAUCAUUUGACACUGCUAUGUCUCAAUUUAAGUAACGUAUAACAAAAGUUUUUAUAUCAUAUAAAAGAGAUCGUUAGAAGAAAUUUGAUUGGAUUACCUCAAGAAUAUAAACCAAAUUUUGAAGACAAACAAACUCCCUUUAAUUGCAAAUGAAAUUGCUUGUGUAAGGCCAUAUCUAUGGAUUCUAUUCAGAAAUGGAAUUAUUCAGUGUUGACAAUAUCCAUAAAAUAAUUGUCAAGUUUGAAGUUUCUUCAAUUAAGAUGUUAUUCUAACUACUUAAUUGUAUUUUAAAUAUCGUACACGAGUUUCCUUGAUUUGAAAAAAUGUGCAAAAGCAGUCCAGCAUUUUGUCUAAACUAUGGAAAUAUAAUCCAAACCAGGCAUCAUCAUACAAGUUUAUAGUUAGAAAACUAUAAAGUAUGUCCGGUGGGCUAAAUUACAUUUUAGAGCCCAAAAUGAAUUUAUAAUAUUGUAUAUAGGUUCGUUAUUUCGUUGUUUUCAUAGUGUAAAAUUACGCAUCUCAAGUUUACUAGCUCGACUCAAUUAAUAAGGUUGUUAGUCAACGUCGUUUCUAAUCAAGUUCAUUUUAGUUUUAGUUUUCAUAAUGUCAGUAACGUUAUUGAACAAAAACCUAAUCUCGGACUUAUGAGUCAGGUUUUAACCCUCAUUUGUACUAUCAUUAAUGUAGUAAUACAAAUGUAUGUAUCACUAACAUGUUGACAUAGAAUAAUUUGUGGAGAAACUAAAAUAAAUAGAACAACUUGAUAUUGAAAUUGUUAGGUAUUUUGAUGCCAAAUAAACUCGGGGUGAUGAUGACUCCUCGAAUAGGAUUAAAAUCAUGUGAUUCAUUUGGAAUCUAUUAUUAAGACUAUAGUUAAUAGUCGACCCGAAACACAAACUGAACGCCCACGAAAGAGGUUGCAAGGAGUAUUACAUUUAGGGCCUGACCCUGUGCCCCCUCCCACCGCUUCCCUUGCCGUUGUGACAUGAACAGAUAUUACACACAAUUUAACCUUCGAGCCCCAUUUUAAGAGAAACUUACGGCUACUUCCUUGUGAUCCAUCUUCUUCUCUCCAUUUUUGGAUCACCAUUACCUACCUUGUGGUUGGCACUUUGGCCGUUGUGUUAGGUGUAAUAAAAAAUGUAGCAAUAUAGAACAAAAGUGAACAAGAAGAUGAAUACAAACGAAAGAAAACUUGAACAUGAAAAUAAUGUCGUUGUCCUUAAAUGAUAUUUGCCUCCUUCAUAAUGCUCUUAAGGAUUAAAAUGGCAAAUUGUUUGUAGGAUUAAUCAAGCCUCAAGAAGAACACUAAAAGCAAAGUAUUCUUCAAAUGAACAAGUGAAAAAGAAGAAUUUGAUUAUGUAGAGGUACAAAAUUUCAUAUAAAAUUGGAUGAAUAGUAGAGUAAGUUUUUCAUGUAUUUUUGGAAUAAACACAAUAUAUAUUUAUAGAUUUUUAUCAUCCUUACACGAAAAGGUUCCAACUCAAAUGAAUAGGUACAUGGAUUCACCAAGAAAACUACCAGAAAUUCGAAAAAAAAUUCCAGCCAAUGAUCAUAUUUUUCAACUAUGCGACCACAUAGGCUAUAGCUAUCCGAUCGCAUAGUUAUAGCUUUGGCCACCUCCAAUAUUUCUACAAUACCACAUGGGACCACAACCUUUAGAUGCUUAUGCGGUCGCUUAGACCAUUUUGUGGCCUAUUUGUUUUUUCUUUUCUAAAUUCAUCCACUCAUUUGAUAUUUUGAAUAACCAAUUUACGACAAUCUCCCACUUGUUCAAAAUCACUAUAAAUCACAUAAUCAAGUAUCAAUGCUCAUGCAUAAGUAUUAGAUGUCUUUCGAUUUGAAUCUAACCAUAGUGUAAAUCUCUUAAAGCAUUAUCAAAAUUCCAAGUACCUAUAACGCUUUGAACCAGUUUUUCUUGUGACAAUAACGAUGAAAUCACACUCACAAAUGUUAAAAUUUUCACAAGUUCCUCUAACUUACUUAGUGUUAAUAUGACCUUGCACUUUUCCUUUUUCAUUGAACCUUUAAAGAGAAAAAAAUUUCAAUUCUCUAAUGAGUCGGCAUCACCUUGAAGUUCACAUAGUUGUAUCUUUGUUACUUUUAAAGAUACUUUGUACCAUCCAUCCAACAGUAACAACCAAUACUAUUUACCAAAGAUAGGGUUUAACAAUUUAAAAGUGUUGAAAUCUAUCCACUUAUCAAAUGAUUUGUUAUUACCCCUUGAACCUAAAUAUACUUAUUUAGUAUACUUUUGCUAGGGUUGCUAUCAUUGGUGGACCUAUUUAAGGAGUUUCAACCCAUCCUGCUUGAUGUCAAUCUUACUAAUUCUCUCGUGAGAUGUUUAGUAAAUGGGUAAGCUAAGUUCUCACUAGACUAAACAUAUGUAAAAGAAACUAUUCCAUGAUUGAUUGAUUUCCUUACAUACUCGUGUCUUAGACUCAUAUGUCUAGACGUUCCAUUAUACACUUCGUUAUAUGUUUGAGCAAAAGUAGGUUGACUAGCACACAAAAUAGGUAUUAAAGAAAUAUCUUUUAUAUCUAAAGGAAUUUCAUAUAACAGAUCUCUUAGCCACUCACCUUCUUUUCCAGUUUUGGCCAGUGCUACAAAUUCUGACUCCAUGUUGAGAGAGUACUGCAAGUUUGUUUCUUAGACAUCCAAGAAACUACACCUCCUCGAAGAGUAAAUAUGUAAUACCCCCAAAUCUAGAUACCUAGAUUUUGAAGUAUUAUCAUUUCAUUUCCUCUUAAAACCAUAAAAGUGGAGGCGAUUAAAUUUUUUCUUUAAUACGAUGAACAUCAUUGACUUCAUUUAUAAACAUAACUUGUAAAAAACUUUUGUACUUAAAUAAAAAAAUAAGAUUAAAUGUUAAUUUUACUUUCUAAAAGAAGUCAACAUUAAAUGUCUUAAUACUGAAUUUAUCACAAAUAGUCAUCUCGAAUCAUCUUGUCUUCAUCAUCUGAAGAUGGAGAGGGAUUACGUGGGAUGAGCUAAAGCUCAGUAAGAACACCUCAUGUAUAUGAUUACACAUGAAUUACUUUAAGAUAAAAACAUUUUUCAAUAUGUAUCCCUUAUUUUCACUACUUUAAAAACUUGACAUUUUGAGCUCACUUGGUGUAUCGCCUAGCGAAACAAAAUGCAGUGGAUAAUUAUUAUUUGGAACCCGGUCGAGUCCUACCGGUAGUACCGUAAAGUGGUUAAAAUUAAUAUUGUCGUAGAACAUCGAUUGGGUGCGCGGGUCCCCUACGUCCCAUUUCCCACUCACACUUUUUAUGACAUAAACAUACACCUCGUAAUAAAAAUCUUAGGAAUAUAUAUCUUUAAAAAACAUUCAUUGACUCAUGACAUUUGAAAACUUUUUGUUCCUUGAAAUUUCAUGUAUGUUUAUGGAUAUAUUGACGUACAUGAAUAUGUCAUGAAAAACAUUAAUAACAUAAAAGGUAAUAAUCAAAUAUCAAGAUCACGUAAUAACAGAUUUUGGUAACAUAUAUAUAUAUAUAUAUUUAAUAAUGUAACGUGGGCAUGAAGCUUAUGGGAGGUUUACUUACCUGAAAUCCUUAACAAUUUACUUUUAGCAUACAAGAAAUGGAUGUUUGUAGCAGUCCACAAGAAGAACUUGCUGAAGAGUCAUAAAUCAAUACCAUUUAAUAAGAAAUUUUUAGAUACUUAAUGUUUAUAACUUUAUAGACAUCUCCUUAGAUAUCAAUACCCUAAUUUUUUUUUACAUAUUUAUUUAUAACUCGUAGAUAUACAAUUACAUAUGUAACAAUACAUUACAUAGACGAUUUUAAAUGGGAGCAAGCAAUAAACAUUGUGGUGUGCAAGUUGUGAAAAUAAGACUACAUGCCAAGGUUCAUUUACUUCAUUAUUUCACACUAACCAUAUAAUAAAUAGCAAUAAAUUAUGAAUAUAAACUAUUAAUUAUUCUAGAUGUAAACACAUAUAAACCAGAAUGUCUCCAUGUUCUAACUAUUAUUAAUAGAUAAUUUGUAUAAAUCUCAGCUUAUAAAUUCAUAACAUUUGAAUCUCAACAAUUUUCAGCAAAGCGUGUACAUAUUCACGUGGAUUCAUUUUUAUAUGAUUUUAUAAGGGAGAUUUAUAAAAUUAUCUAUUAAUAAUAGUUAAGACAUGGAGACAUUCUGGUUUAUAUGUGUUUACAUAAUCUUCUAGAAUAAUUAAUUGUUUGUAUUCAUAAUUUAUUGAUAUUUAUUAUAUGGUUAGUGUGAAAUGAUGAAGUAAACAAACCUUAGCACGUAACCUUAUUUUCACAACUUGCACGCCACAAUGUUUAUUGCGUGCCCCCUUUAAAAUUGUCUAUGAAAUAUAUUGUUAAAUAUGUAAUUGUAUAUCUACGAGUUAUAAAUAAAUAUAUUAAAAAAUAAGGGUAUCGAUCUUUAAGGAUAUGUCUAUAUGGUUAUACAAAUUAAGUAUGUCAGAAAUUUCUUAUUAAAUGGUAAUGAUUUAGGACUCUUCAGCAAGUUCAUUUUGUGCAUUGCUACAAACAUUUGCCUUGUAGGCUAAAAGUAAAUUGUUAAGGAUUUCAUGUAACUAAACAUCCCAUAAUCUUCAUGCGCACAUUACAUUGUUAAAUAUGUAUAUAUGUUACCAAAAUUUGUUAUUACGUGAUCUUGAUAUUUGACUAUUACGUUUUAUAUUUGUUAGGUUUUGAGUUGGCAAUCAAAUUGUAAAUGUUAAAAAAUUAAGGGUUAAAUUGUCAAUAUUUAAAUGUCAUGGGUCAAUUUUUUUGUAAAAGUAUGUUAGGGUUUGAGUUUGGGAAAAAGGGAAGAAGUGUCAUCAAAGUUUCGCUAGCUUCUCGCCAAGAGAUUGUUCGAGCGUAAAAAACAGAGACCUCGUCGCCAGCUCAUCGCCCUUGGCCUACUCAAGUGGAACAACGUCACUUGCUUUUUGCUAGAGUUUUGCUGGGGCGAUAGGUUUAUUUGGAGAAACCCUAUUUUGUGAUUUUCGAAAUUUUUCCUCGACCCACACUACCCAAAAUGUGUCCUAUAUAUUCGAUUGAGCCGUAUUCGUCCAUUCUUAGAGGAUUGAUCUUGAAGAACACAUCCUACUCUUUUUUUACAUUAACUCAAUCCCACUAUCUUAUUGGUGCACUCACUCAAAAACAUCAAAUCCACAUCCAUCAAACACCAAAACCUGUCCUUCUAGAGAAUUUGUUAGAGUUGAAGAUCAGGAAGGAGAUAGAAGUUAUGUUCUUUGAAGAACGGGGAGUUCUUAGAAAUUCACUAAAGAUAGAUGAAACCAAGAGCCGAGAGUUGGUGCAAGAGCACGAAUUCUAGGAGGGUUUUAGGGAAUUAUAGUCAAGAGGUUAGGAUAAAUGAGUGUUGUUUGAGUUUGGCAGACUGUAAGUUGAUUUUUCAGUUAGAGUGGAUUCAUACUGUCUUGGGCCUAGAGUUUUUAAUCCUGCAAGGGGUUUUCUCCGUCAUCGAAUUGUUAUGCUCUUUAAGUUUCUACAAUUUACUAUUUUGCAGCAGUUUAGCAUAGGUCAGUAAUGCAUGUGAAUCAACUUGGACAAAAUUAAUAACUGUGACUUGUUGCAAUUAUUAAUCAGUCAUUUAAAAUUCUCCACAAACACCUAUUUACCUCGUCUCAAUGUUAAUUGGGUCAAACUAUGUUAUUUCAAGUGGUAUCAGAGCCAAACCUCGAGCCCUGGAACAUGUCGGCCUACUGCGCUUUCCAUUAAGGUUCAGGGCAUUUUACUGAUGAAAUCAGUGUAUGACGCGUUAUACUACUAGCUCCUUGGCUAGUGGGCGAGGGAUGAAGUAUAUUCGACGAAGCUAUUCUUUCAUUUAAUUGAUUGCAUUACAAUGAAAGACAAUCUCAUGGUUCCUUCUCCUCACGAAAUGGAUUUGAAGUUCUUUGCCUCGGGUCAACGAACAGGUAAGAAUAGCGCUUUAGGUCGUGAGUACGUUAUGCCCGUUAUCACUCAAGCAACUCUAGCUCAAAGUAGCUCAAGCAUAGCUCUUUCUAUGGCUCUAGACUAUUCUGAGCUUGUAAACCAUAGGAGCCGAAAAUAGUUCCUCUAAUGAAGGAUCUUUCUGCGUUCAAUCACAUCUUACGCUUCGAGCAGGACCAUGCAUUUUGUUCCAAAUUGUUGUCUAGAUUAGUCAAUCUUUGUCUGUGCUUCCUUAUUUUGACAAGAGUAGUUAUACCUACUGGAAAGUUAGGAUGCGUGCAUUUCUUAAGUCCCUAGAUGAACCCGUUUAGGCUAGUGUACAAAAUGGUUAGAAGGCCCCAUCCACUACUGGGUCUGGUGUAGUCAUUCCCACUGACAUUUCACUUUUGACUAAGGAAAAAUUAGCUGACUGUAACUGGAAUAACAAAGGACUCUAUACAUUGUUUAUGGCUAUAUCUCCCGAAAAGUUUAGGAGAGUGUCAAUGUAUGAAACUGCUAAAGAGGUAUGGGAUAUUCUAGAGACUACACAUGAGGAAAUUAAAACUAUGAAUAAUUCCAAAUUGUAAAUGUAAACUUCUAGGUUUGAAGAAAUUGAGAUGAAGGAAAAUGAAUCGUUUGAUGAAUUUUACACAAAAUUGAAUGAUAUAGUGAACUCUAGCUUCAACCUAGGUGAGAGGAUUCCCAAGUCCAAAAAUGUUAGAAAGGUCCUUAGGUCUUUACCCGAGAGAUUUAGACCCAAAGUUACAGCAAUAGAAGAAAGCAAGGAUCUAGACACGGUUAAGAUAGAAGAACUUGUAGGAUUCCUUUAAACUUAUGAGCUCACUAUUUCAUAGCUGAAGAAAAAUAAGCCCAUAAUAUUGAAUACUAUUAAGGAAGAGGAGUCUGAAUCAUCUGACAUGGAGACCCUUAGGGAUGAAGAGAUAGCAUACUUUGUGAAAAAAUUCUAGAAAGCUCUAAAGAAUAAGAAAAGGCCUCAAAAGAGAAAAAAUGGAGGUCCUAGUAAAUUCCAGAAUGAUAAGAGUGAUAAACCAAAUGCUAGGAACUCUAGUAAGAAAUCUCAACUUGUUAGAUAACAUGAGUGUCAAGGGUUUGGACACUAUAGGAAUGAAUGCCCUAGUUUUAAGAAAAUUUUGAAAAAGGCAAGGAGUAAGGCAUUACUGUGUCAUAGACAGAUGGUGAAAUAAACUCAAGUGAUCAGGGUGACUCCUUUGGUAGUGAAGAUAAAAGGGUUAUAUUGCUUUCGUCUCUACAGUUAAGAGUGGGUCGGAUAAGGAGAGUGACAAGGUUGAAGAAGAUAUACAAGAUGAAAAUUAUAAGAUACUGAGGAUGAGACUGAUAUUCAUGAGGCUUACCAACUUCUGUUUAAGGAAAAUCUUAAGAUCAAGAAGAUACAUAAAGCCCUAUUUAAGAAGGUGAACGCUAUUGAGAGAGAGAAAGAGAGGCUCACAAGUGAUCUACAGGACUCGUCCAAAAGCCUUAAUGAGCUAAGAUAUGUCAAUGAAAAGCUGGAAGACAAGGUUAAGACUUUGACUAGUGACUUAGAGAAAUCAAAUAUUCACUCAACUCCAGUCAUUUAUAAGUGGGACUAAGAAACUAAAUGAUCUGUUAGGAAUGAAUAAAUCAGCUGGAAAUAGGCAAGGUUUAGGAUUUGUUAAGAGUGAUAGUAACAUGGCCAGUUUAUCCAAGACCACAUUCGUCCCUGCCUCCAACAAAUCUAGUAAUAUGGCUAAUUCGGAACCCAAAGGGAAAAGUGUCUCGGAAUAAAAGAUCACUAGAGCAUGUAAGAUCCCCCCACCUAAAAAUUAAUAUCAACAAUCACGUGCCUGUGAGCCUAGGUUUAUACUAAGCGUGGAAAUAGGAAUAGAAAUCAGGAUAUCCCUAGUCAGGUUAGCUACCUUUUAGAUCAGGUCAGUCAUUUAGCUGAUAUGGUGACAAAAUUGACCAAGAUACCUUGACUUCUCGAAAAGUUUGGGUCAAGAAAAGUGAUUUGGCUAGGCAUGCUGAGAAUCUAAACUGCUUUGUAGCUCAUGUUGCAUUUAAGGCUCAAAAUACGUGUAUGUGGUAUCUCGAUAGUACUUGCUUGAGACACAUGUAUGGAAAUAAGGCUUUGUUCUCUAUCCUUGAUAUUUUAAUGGUGGUAUGGUUACCUUUGGAGACAGGGCUACAGUACCUAUCCUUGGUAAAUGUACCGUCAACAUAUCUAGACUACUGACUAUAUCUAAUGUGCUUUAUAAAGAUAGUCUAAAGUCCAAUUUGUUAAGCAUAAGUCAAAUAUGUGAUGCUGAUUAUGAAGUGAGUUUUGUCCAAGAGAGGUAUACUGUUUAUGACCCUUUGGGUAGAGUUGUCCUCGAAGGUGUUAAAACUUCUGAUAAUUGUUAUAGAGUUCUUCCCAAUUCCAAAUAUGUGUAUAGCAGUGCUAAAAUUGAUGCGAUUAAACUUUGGAUCAAAGACUAGGUCAUGUGAAUUAUAAAAGUUUGUCAAAAUUGGCAAAAAGGAAAAUGUUAAUGGUUUGCCUAAAAUUGAACAACAAGAAAUUCUAUGUGUAAGCCUUGUAAGCAAGGGAAAUAAAUUUGGAUAAAUCACAAACAAACUUCUAAAAUUUUGACAAACAGAACCUUAGAACUUCUCCAUAUGGACUUAAUGGAACCAUCUAGGACUGAAAGCCUAGGAGGUAAGCACUAUAUUAUUGUUGUGUUGUAUGAUAAGAAAAAAAUUUGAAGCAUUUGAUCUUGUUAAAUCCCUGUGUAAAAAGCAUAAGACUGAACAAAAUCUUUCCAUAUCUAGAAUUCGAAGUGAUCAUGGAAAAGCAUUUGAAAACUCCAACUUUGAAAACUUGUGUUUGGAGGAGAAAAUUCAGCAUGAGUUCUCCUCACCAAUCACUUCACAACAAAAUGGGAUAGUUGAAAGGAAAAAUAGAGUGCUCCAAGAAAUGGCUAGAGUCAUGCUUAACGACAGGGAUCUUGCAAUGCAUUUCUAGGGUGAAGCAAUCAACAUUGCAUGCCACAUAGUGAACAAAGUAUACCUCAGAUCGAAAAUCGAUAAGACUCUAUAUGAGAUUUGGAAGGGUAAGAAGCCUAUUGUCAAAUACUUUCAUAUGUUUGGCAGCAAGGGUUACAUUAUGCGGGAUAGAGAAAAUUUAGGUAAGUUUGAUUUCAAUAAUGAUAAAAGGAAUUCUUUUGGGAUAUUCUAAGAAUAGUAGAGACUACAGAGUAUACAAUUCGCAUACUCAAAGUGUCAUGGAGUUCAUAAAUAUUUUGAAUGGUGAUGCUUUUACUGAGGGAGAAGGUGGAAAAUUUAGUUGGUUUAGAAAAUCUAAGUGAUGAUCAAUGAACAACUAUUGAACCUAAAAAACAUCCAAUAUCUAACUCUCCGUGCUUUCCUAAAGACAUAGACACUUCAGAUAAGAAUCAACCAAUUGGUGACAAAUCUUAGCCUACUAGAGAACCAUCAUCCAGGGUUAAAUCAAAUCAUCCUAAAGUCAAUAUCAUUGGAGAUCUAGAUGAAGGUAUGAGGUUACAUAAAAGGGUUCUAAUUAAUCUAACAUACACAAGCUAUGUACCCCAGAUUGAGUCCAAGAAAGUAGAGGAAGCCCUUAGAGAUGAAUGUUGGAUAAAUGCAAUGUAUGAGGAGCUUAAUCAAUUUGUCAAGAACAAUGUGUGGGUUUUAGUUUGUAGGCCCGAUGAUUGCAAUGUUAUAGGUACUAACUAGAUAUUCAAGAAUAAGACCAAUGACCAAAGUACCAUAACCAGAAACAAGGCUAGGCUAGCCAGGGGUAUACUCAAGUUGAAAGUGUCGACUUUGAUUAGACAUUCGCCCCUAUCGCAUGUCUUAAGUCCAUUCGCAUCUUCCUUGUUGUUGCUUGUACCUUAGGGUUCAAGCUUUAUCAAAUGGAUGUUAAGAAUGCUUUCUUGAAUAGAAUACUUCAAGAAGAAGCAUGUGUUGAACAGCCCAAGGGUUUAUCGACCCUACAUUUUCUCAUUAUGUCUAUAAACUGAAUAAAGUCUUGUAUGGUCUGAAAAAAACUCCUAGAGCUUGGUAUGAUAGACUCACUGCAUACCUCGUUGAUCGUGGAUUUUCAAGAGGUAGUGGAAACAGAACUUUAAUCAUUAGGCAUAUUCAAGAAACCAUAACUAUAGCAUGGAUCUAUGUCGAUGACAUCAUUUAUGGCUCUCCUGUAGACUCUUUUGCUUAUGAAUUCACUGAAUGCAUGAAAUAAGAAUUUGAAAUGAGCAAGGUUGGAGAGCCGAGCUACUUCCUUGGUCUUCAAGUAAAGCAAAUAGAUGAUGUCUUGUUCAUUUCUCAAUCAAAAUAUUCAAAUGAUCUUGUCAAGAGGUUAGGGCUAGGUAGGAAAAAGCACACAAGGACAUCCAUGAGCACAAGUGCUAAGUUAGAUCACGGUUCUAAAGGUAAAAGUGUUGAUCAAACACUGUCUAGGAAUAUGAUAGGUAGUUUACUCUAUCCUACUGCUGGUAGACUUGACAUAGCAUUCAAUGUUAGAAUGUGUGCAAGAUAUCAGGCAGACCCUAAAAAACCCAUUUGAGUACAGUGAGGUAUAUCAUUAGGUAUGCAAAUGGAACCAUAGAUCAUGGAAUCUUAUAUUCUAGAGACUCCAAACUUGAUCAUGCCAACUACUCCGAUGCCGAUUGUUGGCUGGAAAUUCUGAUGAUAGAAAGAGUGCCUCGGGUGGCUGUUUCUAUAUUGGUUCUAAUCUUGUGUCAUGAAUGAGUAAGAAACAAAACUUCAUCUCUUUGUCCACGGUCGAGGCUGAAUACAUUGUGGCCAGUAGUUGUUACACUCAGCUGCUUUGGAUGAAGCAAAUGUUGAGUGAUUAUGGGAUAAAUUAGGUAUACCAUGACUGUGUUUCAUGAUAACACUAGCACUAUUAACAUCUCUGAAAACCCUAUUCAACAUUCUAGGACAAACAUAUUGACAUUCGUCAUCACUACAUUCGAGAACUUGUUGAAUCCAAUGUGGUAUCCUUAGAGCACAUUUCUAUAGAAAAUUAGCUUGUCGAUCUGUUUACUAAACCUUUAGACGGUCUGAGGUUCGAGUCACUUAGAAAGUCUGUCGGUAUCUAUGUACCUUAUUGACCAUCUUCAUAGGGACAUCCAUGUACAACUCAUUUACUUGUCUGUUUUUGCAUUUAUUUCAUUGCAUAUUCAUUUUGAUUUGCAUUUGCCCUCUCUUCAUGCAUUUUUAAUUUCAUCAUAUAAAAUAAAAAAUUUAGUCACUGCAGAAUCGUAUUUGUUUUACUUAAACUUGCAUCUUUUGAUCAGAUAUACAUUCAAUAAAUGAUUAGCUUCAUAUUCAUAUCACUUGAAUUUAGUCUAUGCGGCGUACUUAGUAUAUGUCUCUUCAUACUUUGUCUGUACAUCACACACUAUGACCUUGUAAGUGAAUCUUGACCGCAUAUGUGAGAUUUGGGAUGACUGUCAUCUGGUGAUGAGGUGAUCGUAAUCGUGAAUUGAUCUUUGACUAGGCGAUCUAAAUUCUGCUGGUUCCUUCCAACAAAAGUUAAAAAUAUUGUUGAGUUAUAUCUUAUACCCAUCUUCGUAGCAUAGUUGACUCGAGCAAUUAAGUUUAAGGAGUUUAUAAUGCUCCAAAGCUAACUGGCUUGGGAGUCACCGAACCAAAGCUCGUUACAAGGAUCUUCUUAGUAACUUAAUGGAGAUGGGCUUGCACUUAAGAUUAAAAAAAAAAAAUUUUGGUUAUAGACAGGGGAAGAAAGAAAAUUACACACCACACAUUCAUUGAAUUAUAGGUCCCAGUGGCGCUAGAUUUGACUUUCACAAUUCUGGGAGAUAAAUUCAUUCAGCAGUGAAUUAGCAUGUCCCUUCUCACAAAUUUAAGAUUUUGAGUCUUGUUUCCAUGGAAUUAGUGGCACUUUUACAUAUGGGUGGGACAGCAUUUCUAGUCCCUGAGCAUGUCAUAUUUGUGAUAUGUGUUAGGGCACGUAUCAUAUUUAAUGAAAAAAUAUUGGUGCAAAAAUGAAAAUUUUCAAAGUAAUGCUAAAAUUCUGCAUUUUCUAAGUGUUGCUAAAAUUCUAUAUUUUCAUGAUGUGGUGCUAUUUCUAUCAAUUUCCUAUCGCUCGAUUAUUGUUGACCUCUUGCUCGAGUGAUAAUAACAAAAUUUAUGUCACUCGCUUCUCACUCGAAGCUCACUUGAGCGACAUUUAAGUUUGAAAUACACUUCGUCACCUCAUUUUCCCAUUUUUCUUCAAAUUUUCAUUGUUUUCUCUUCGAGCACACACUAUAUUCUUGCAAAAUCUGAAAUUUUGGAUAGGUCUUCAUCACUGAUUGCAUACAUUACAUAUGGUUAAAACCAUACAUUUUACCAUUUUGAUAUCUUUUGGGGUUUUGUCGAUUUCGCUUCGAUAAGCCACAAUUUCUUGAAUCUAAAUUAUUCCAUUGUGCAUCUUGAGUGUCGCAUUGCAUCGUUAUGGCUCAAGUUUGCAUUUUUUAUGGCAUUUUUCCCAUUCUUCUAUUGUUUUUUUCCCACAUUUUUGACACUUUUAUCUCGAAUUUUUUCUUCUCAGCGGUGCAUUUUUAUGACAUAGGAUUGUUGUGAUGAUGUUUGAGUACUAUUUGGUAAGUUGUGGGGUAUUGGGACUGUAAGUGUUGUGUGUUUUUUCACCUUUUACAUGUGUAUGCCACACGUUCGACAAAUUGCCUCUUCACUGAAUUGACUCGCUACCUAGGCUACUUUUACCUACUAUAUUCAUAAUCUAAGUCCCAAUCAUUUUUGGUUCUUUGUGUCUCUUGGUUGACGUCCCGUUCUUAUGAUUUCGCGUCUAGAUCAUGUCAUAUGUAACUGCGCCUUACGCUUUGCCACCAUCUCACCUCCGUCUUGACACUAAGUCCCUAACGUCUUGGCACCAUGUCACUUAGUUCUUGACAUUGCACACUUAUUGCAUAGUUUUGCGUUUUACUAUUUUUCAUUGGGUUUUAUGCUUUUCUCUAUGAUGCAUUAUUUUCCGUGCUUUUCGCAAGUUUUUGUAUCAUUUUGCACGUUUUUCCUAUUUUGCAUCAUUUAGAGUCUUCUUCAUGCUUUCGUAUAGCUUUGGGUGAUUUUUACAUAGAAGCACGUACAUCCAUGCAUAUCUCAUUUUAGGUGGUCUACGAGUCUUAACAUCUUGGUAAUAUUCUAUAUUUCAGCUGGCACCUAAGAGGGCACGAUCCGCUGCUCAGUCUAUUAGUGGGUCGACUUCGUAUAAUCGGUCUAGGUUUAUUUCUUCCACUGCUCAGGAUAUGUUUGGGACUCAGUUCUCAUUACGUCCGUUCUAGUUGAGCAUGAGGUCAGUCUUUCUAACCUUCCACCUGACCUAACAGCCAUAUUUACCUUUAGGGUUUGGGAGUCUUUAUUAGUUGGAUUGUACGCCCCGCUUAGUCUCCUAGUCCAGGAGUUCAAUGUGAAUAUUCAUGAUGUUAACGGGUCAUCUUUUAAGGCCUUCCUUCGAGGUCAGUCGAUUAAGAUCACACCUGACAUUGUUUCGAGCACUAUUCAUAGUCCACGUGUCAUUUAAUCAUUUUUUCCAUACUUGUCGGUCAACCCUAUUCCGAUCGAUUCCUUGGUUAAGUUGAGUUUUUUUAAUAGUCCAUUAGGAGGUGGACCACACAUGAUUCACAUUGGAUCACUUUCUAUUGAUUGACAAAUUUUAUUGCGCAUUAUGUGCACAAAUCUGUUUCCAGUUUCUCGUACUUCUUCAUUGCUUAUGGAAAAGACAAGAUUUUCCUAUGUCCUUCUGCAUGGUGAUUCUAUUAACCUGCCCACUUUCAUUUGUCAAAAUAUCUCUUGUAUAUUUAGUAGGAUAGGUCUCCAUAAUGCGUGCUUAAUAACCGUUUGGUGACAUCCCUGAGGCUUCAUUUCCUGAUGGGGUCUUUCAUCGGGCUUUUCAUCCCAUUUGUCAUACUAUUUUUUCGCAGAGUAGAUCCCAUUUUCCUUCUUCUUUUGCUCCUGCAGAGCUUGUUGACCUAACAGUGCCUGCUGAUCUUAUCGGUGAUCUUUUCUCUUCUGAUUCCUCAUAUAUACCUCCGUCUCAUCUUGAUGUUCCUCCAUCCACUACUAAUAUUCCAUCAUCUUCUAUUUCGGUCGCUCCACACACUCGACCUUACUCAACUGCGGGCUAUUUCAGAGCGCCAUACUGCAAAGUUUUCUACAUUGAGAGGGGUUAUGGUAUAUGUGCAGCACGUGAUCCGGUGGAUGCUUAAGCACUGGGACUAUGACGAUGAUGAUGAGGAGGAUGACGGCGAUGGUGGUGGUUCAUAGUUGUUAGAGAUUCCCUUGUCAUUUGUGACAAAAACGAGAGUGGUUUUAUUGUAUAAUUUGACUUAUUUUUGGGAUUUGUGACUUUUGAUGAUUGACAUCGAACAUGAUUGUGUUAUGUUUGACAUUAUUUUUGCUAAAUUAAGAUUUGAUGUUUUGGAAUAUUAAUGUAUGUUUUUUUGGUGUUUUAACUUACAGUGAUAUUGUGUCUUAAUCUAGCAUUAUUCAUAUGAUAGUGUGCUUGCUGAUGACUAUCUAUCUUUACUACCUUUACUUAUAUUAUUGUUUUUUGUGAGUUGUAAUUUUAGGAAGCAAGCCUAAUGAAGACAGAGCAACAGUCAGUACAGUCAUUGUUUUGCAUAGUCAUUGUGGUCAUUGUUGAUGUAAUAUAUUUUUUGUCACUUUUUCACGCCUUGGACUAACUCUUCGGCUGUUUGAACUACUACUAUCAGGCAAGCAACAACUACAUUUCCUAAUUCAGAAUGUCAAAGGGGGAGUUUGUUAGGUUUUAAGUUGACAAUUCUUUGAACAAAAGGGUCAAAUUAUAGAUGUUCAAAAAUUAAAGGUCAAAUUGUCAAUGUUUAAAAGUCAGGGGUCAAUUUGUACAUGUUUAAAAAUUAGUGACUAUGUUGUAAUUUUGUAAAAGUAUGUUAGGGUUUGAGUUUGGAAAAAAGAGAAUAAGUGUCGUCAAAGUUUCAUUAGCUGAGCGCAGGAGAUUGCUUGUGUGUAAAAAACAGAGACCUCAUCUCUAGCUCAUUGCCCUUGUCCUGUUCGAGCAAAACAAUGUCACUUGCUUUUUGCUGCAGUUUUUAUUUUAUGAUUUUCGAGGUUUUGAACUGGCCCAUACUUCCCAAAAUGUGUCCUUUAUAAUUGAGUGCACCGUAUUUGUCCAUCUUUAGAGGAUUGAUCUUGAAAAACACAUCCUACACUUUGUUACAUUGAUUCAAUCCCACUAUCUUGUUGGUGCUCUCACUCAAAAACACCAAAUCCACAUCCAUCAAACACCAAAACCUGUCCUUUUAGAGCAUUUAUCAAAAGUGGAAGAUCAGGAAAGGAGAUUGGAGUUCUGUUUGUUGAAGAAUGGGGAGCUCUCGAGUAUUCACAGAAGAUAAAUGAAAUCAAAAGCUGGGAAUUGGUGCAGGAGCACGCAUUCCAUGAGGGUUUUGGGGAAUUACAGUCAAGAGGUCAGGAAAAAGAAUGUUGUUUGAGUCUGGUAGACUCUAAGUUGAUAUUUCGUUUUUAGUAUCUUCAUAUUGGCUUUGGCCCGAAGUUUUUAAUCCCUCAAGGAGUUUUCUCCGUCAUCAAAUUGUUGUGCUUUUUAAGUUUCUACAAUUUACUAUUUUGUGACAGUUCAACAUAGACUAGUAAUGCAUGUGAAUCAAUCUGGACAAAAUUAAUAACUUUGACUUGUUGCAAUUAUUAAUCAAUUGUUAAAAAUUCUGGCACAAACACCUAUUUACCCUCUCUCUAAGUGUUAAUUGGGUCAAACUAUAUUAUUUCAAUGUUAUUAAUGCUUUUCAUUACAUAUUUGUGCACGUUAAUACAUCCAUAAACAUACAUGAAAUUUCAAGGAAUAAAAAGUUUUCAAAUGUCAUGAGUCAAUGAAUGUUUUUAAACGAUAUCUAUUCCUAAGGUUUUUAUUACGUGGUGCAUGUCUAUGUCAUGAAAGAUGUGAGUGAAAAAUGGGGUGUGGGGGAUCGAUGCACCCAAUGAAUGUUCAAUGUUCUAUGACAGUAUUAUUGUUAACCUCUUUGUGGUACUAACGGUAGGACUCGACCGGAUUCUAAAUAAUAAUUGUCCACUGUAUUCUGAUUGGCUAGGCAAUGCACCAAGUGAGUUCACAAUAUCAAUGUUAUGUUUUUAGAGAAAUGAAAAGAAGGGGAUACAUAUUGAGAAAUGCCUUUUUAUUUUAAGUAAUUCAUAUGCAUAUCAUAAGCAUGCAUCAUCCGCAUGAAGUCUUGUUACUGAGAGUUAUCUCAUCCCACAUUAUUCAUCCCCAUUUUUAGAUGACGAAGGCAAGAUAAUUCGAUACGACUACUUGUGGUGAGAUGGACUUGGUACUAAUACAUUUAGUGCAGAUCAAGUUGAAAUAAGUUUAACAUUUAAUUUGAUUAUCUUAUAUUUUUAUUAAAUAUAAAUUUUUUUGAAAUCCUUUCCUUAAAUGAAAGUCGUUAAUAUUUUUAUGUUAAAGAAAAAUUUAUAAUCAGUUUCCACAUUAUGGUUUGAAGGGAAAUUAAAUGAUAAUACUUCUACAUCUAGGUAUCUGGAUUUGGGGUGUUACAAAAUACCCAAACUAAAGUGGAAUUUUCUCUCCCACAGUUGAUAUCCAAUUGGUGUCAGUUUAUCUUUCCAAGAUUUUAAGGAACCAUGUGUAUUGUAGUCCAAGGUUUUUAGUUUUCUUUAAGUAACCAAAAACCCUCUCGAUAGCCUUCCAAUGUUCGAAAAUCGAAUUGCUAGUAAACCUACUUAGGUUAUUCAUAGCAAAUGCAACAUCAUGUCUUGUACAUUGUGUCGCAUCCAUUAGACUUCCAGUUGCACUUGCAUAUUCUAGCUAUUGCUCCUCCAUCAUUUUUUAUCAGCUUGAUACUUAGAUCCAAAGAGUAUUAGCCUCCUUGACGUUCAAUUGUUUGAACUUAUUUAUUACAUUUUAACUUUGAUAUCAAUGAUAUUAUCCACUUGUCCAAGAUCUUUUAUUUUGAAUGUGGAGGAUAGAAACCUCUUCGUUUCUUUGAUCCCAUCUAUAUUGUUACUGGUGACCAACAUAUCAUCAACAUAUAGACAUUAAAGUAAUUAGACUAUUAUUUACUUUAGUGUAAAGACAAAAUAUCUACCGAAUUAUGAUUAAAAUCAUUUGACAUUAUUAUAGAGUCAAAUUUCUCAUGCCACUUAUUAGGAGCUUGUUUCAAUCCAUAUAAAGAUUUGAUUAGUUUGCACACUUUAUGUUCAUUUUUUGGUAGAACGAACUCUUCUGGUUAAAUCAUAUAGACCUCUUCUUUGAGAUCUCCAUUUAGGAAUGCCUUCUUGACAUCCAUUUGAUGAACACAUAAAUCAUAAAUUGAUGCUAGUGCAAACAGGUUCCUUAUCAAUGUUAUCCUAGCCAUAGGUGCAUAUGUGUUAAAGUAAUAUAUUCCUUCCUUUUGACAAUACCCUUUAGCUGCUAUUCUAGCAUUGUAGGUAUUAAGCGUUCCAUCAGAAUUGUACUUUUUUCUAAAUACCCACUUGCAACAAAUAGCUUUCGAACCAUUUCAUAAGUCAGCUAUUUCCCAAGUAUUAUUUGAAAUAAUGGAAUUCAUUUCAUUAUUUAUCGCUUCUUUUCAAAAUAUACAAUCUCUAGAUGAUAUUGCUUCCUUAUAGGUUUUAGGAUCACUUUUCAUUUGAAGAACAAUAGGUAUUGUUCUUACAACCUCCUUCCUAUCUCUCUCUACUACGUAAAAAUAAAUAAGUUGAAAAUCUAUUCCAUCCGAUCCUAAACCUUUUUCUUUUCGAAUUUUCUUACUAUUUCGAGGUUCACUUUCAACAUUUCUAAUAGCUCUCUAGAAUUUGGAAUAACAUCAUUAUUUUGAGGUUUUUACUAAUAGAAAAUUUCUUCUCCCUUGAUUCUAUUAUAACAUCUGAUUCAAGGUUUAAUAACCUAUAAGCCAUGCUAUUAAGAACAUAUCAUACAAAGGCACAUUUAAUAUCACUAUGACCUAAUUUAGUUCUCUUAUGAUCCGUAUUUUUAUAAUAAGCAAGGCACCCGUACACUCUGAAAUAAUUAAUAUUUGGUUUUCUACCUUUCCAUAUUUCAUAUGGGAAGAUCUUAUUAUUUUUCAUAGGAACGCUAUUUAGUAUAUGUCAAACACUAAGUAAAACUUCACCCCAUAGAUUAAAAUGUAAUUCAGAAUUCAAUAACAUGGCAUUUAUCAUCUAUAAGAAUGCCUUAUUCUUUCUUCAAACCAUUUUUUUUUGGAGUUCGUGGUGCUGAAUAUUGAUGCAUUAUUCAAUUUUGUUCACAUAACACAUUGAAUUCAUUAGAGAAAUAUUCUUCAUCUCUAUCACUUCUUCGAGUUUUAAGUUUUCUUCCUAAUUGAUUUUCUACUUCGAAUUUAUAAGUCUUAAAGGCACUAAAGGCUUCAUCCUUAUGCUUUAACAAAUAGAUAUAAGUAUAACUAGAGCAAUCAUCAAUGAAAGUAAUAAAAUAUCUAUUAUCACCUCUUGUUAGCAUGUCAUUCAAUUCACAUACGUCGAAAUGAACAAGUUCAAGUAGGUUUGUUGAUCUUACUGUACUACGAAAUGACUUUUUAAUUAUUUUUAAUUUAAUACAUGUUUCACAUUUUUCCAAGUUGUCAAAGUCACAUUGUAUCAACCCACAUUUGACCAUUCUUUUCAUAGUGCUAACUCCUAUGUGUGCUAAUCUACCAUGCCAUAAAUUGUAAGAAUCAACAACAUAGGCAAAUCAUUUAAUUUUAUUAGAAUUAUCCUCAAAAGUACAUAGUUUUACCAUUCCUUCAUCGGAAUAGCCCUUUCCAACAAAGUACCCAUUAUGGGUUGGUACAAGUUUUUCUGAUUCAAAAAUGGAUUUAAGUCCAAGUUUUCUCAAUAGAACUCCACUUGCUAAGUUUCUAUUCAUUUCUGGUACAUGAAGGACAUUUGUCAUAGUGACCUUCUUCCCAAAGUGAACAUGAUUUUCGAACUACCUUUGCCAAUCACUUGAGAUCUUCCUUCAUUUCCCAUUUGAAUUUCUUGAUCGUCUUGAAUGUCAUGAUAAGUUUUGAAAAAAGACAUAUCAUAACAAACAUGGAUUGUAACACUGUGUCAUACCACUGAUCUAGAACUUUCUCUUGGAUUGCAUUGAUUUCACUCACCAUAACGAUAAUCUCAUCAAUGAAAUUUCCUUGUCCUUCCUUCUUUCGUUGUUUUCUAUACUUGCAAUCUCUUGCAUAGUGUCCUAAUUUUCCAUAAACAUAGCAAGGUCAUUUGGAUUUGUUUUUGAACUUUCCUCAAUUCUUUUUAGGAGCAAGAGGUUUCCUUUUUGUUUUGUAUUUUUUGGAAUUGUCCAAACUGUCCAUGGCAUGGGUUUUCGAAGAGCCAUGUAGUCAUAUCUCUUGCCUUUGAUUCUUCCUCUAUGAGAAGUUGCUUUUGGACGUCUUCCAAAGAGAAGUCUUCAGAAUUGUGAAAAAUCUUCUUUCUAUAUCCUUUUCAAGACAUCGAGAAUUUAGUAAAAAUUGCUCCCACUUUGAAGGAUUUGAAAAGUUCAAUGUCACCACUUUCGAUUUGUUAACACUAAUUUACAAUUCGUGUAUUUGAGGCAACAAAUGAAUAUUAUCAAGCAUUUUGCAAUCAAAAUAUUUAGAAAUUAAAAUCUUCUUUGUACUUUCCUCCUCGGCCUUUUAUUUAUUUUCAAGUGCGUCCCAAAUUUCCUUUGCUGAAGUAGUAUUUGUGUAAGAUCAUAUAGCCAAUCCAAAAGGGCAUUUAGAAUGUGAUCGUGACAUAUCAAUUUGUUUUAUUCCCCUUUCUAUCAGCACGAACUUAUUCAAUAUUCUUUUUAUUGCAUUAGCGAUUGCCUCCAAAUUUAGAUCAAGCACGUAGAAGAUCUUUAAUGUUGUUAAUAGGAAUUUGAGUUUGUCUAGCUAUCUUGUGAAGUUAGAUCCAUCAAAUCUGUCCAAGCUCACCAAAUUUUGAUUCAUCAACAUGAUUGUAGCACGCGUAAAUUCUGUCUCCAUCGUAGUAAAUGAGGAUAUCGUUUGCGAAUGUUAUAAAAAAAUGCAGCAAUAUAGAACAAAAGAUGAAUAUAUACGGAAGAAAACUUGAACAUGAAAUAAUGUCAUUUUCCUCAAAUGAUAUUUGCCUCCUUCACAAUGCUUUUAAGGAUUAAAAUGAAAAAUAGUUUGUAGCAUUAAUCAAGCCUCAAGAAGAACGCCAAAAGCAAAUUAUUCUCCAAAUGAACAAGUGAAAAAGAAGAAUUUGAUUAUGUUGCGGGACAAAAAUUCAUACAAAGUUGGAUGAAUAGUAGAGUAAGUUUUCCAUGUAUUUCUGGGAUGAACACAACAUGUAUUUAUAGAUUUCUCUCAUCCCUACAUGAAAUGGUUCCAACUGAAAUGAAUGAGUACAUGAUUCAUCAAGAAAACUACCAGAAAUUCAAAAAAAAUUCCAGCCAAUAGUCAUAUUUUUCAACUAUGCGACCGCAUAGGCUAUAACUAUGCGAUCGAUUAGUUAUAGCUUUGGCUGCCUCCAAUAUUUCUGAACUACCACAUGCGACCGUAGGCCUUAGAUGCUUAUGCGUUCACAUAGGCCAUUGAUCUAAGCCCCGUCUAAUCCACUUUUGGUGCCAAUCAUUAUGAAAUCGAAAGGAAGGUGUUUGGUUUAAUCAAUUAAAGGUUGUGUUUAACUCCACAGAUAUUUUUCUCAAAUUCAUUUUUUACCAUAUAUUUGCGGGACAUACAACUUUUAAAUUGAAAUUUCAUUAAUUUUUAUAAAUCUCUCUCUCUCUCUCUCUCUCUCUCUCUCUAUAUAUAUAUAUAUAUAUAUAUAUAUAUAUAUAUAUAUAUAUAUAUAUACACACCANNNNNNNNNNNNNNNNNNNNNNNNNNNNNNNNNNNNNNNNNNNNNNNNNNNNNNNNNNNNNNNAUAUAUAGUCAAGCCAAACUAGGGCUUAAUUUCGUGGAUUCACAUAGAAUAUAUACGUAUUGACAAAAUUGGGAACAGCCAAAUGUUGUAACUCUCGUUUGAAUAGAAAAUCAUACGAAAGAAACCCUCACUACCAAAUGAUAAAAAUAGCACUACCUAAAUGAUUGUACCUAUAAGUAUUUAAAAAUAAAUAAAAACCAGUUGAUUGAAAACAAAAGGUUUAAAAAAUGAAUUAAACUAUUUGUAUGGUAGAGAUCCCCCUGUAUAAGUUACAAGUGCAGUGCUUCCAACACUUUACCUGUAAUAUGUAAAGGGGAUUUCCCCGGUACAUAUAACAUCACCCUUAGAAAAGGUAUGCGAGCUACAAGUGACUACACUCCUAGGUCAAUGUCAAGUUCAGACUUUAUAUGCGGCCUAAGAAGUGGUGCCUCGACCACCAAAUAUUACAAAAUGUAUUGAAAUUAGGUGGAUAGAUCAUACAAAAUAUAUAUAGGCAAAAAAUUGUUUGAUCAUCUUGAAUUAGAAUUUAAAUUUUGUAAAACAUGCAUUAACGUUUUAACAAAAAUGCGUAGUCAUGCAUUAUGAUAGGAACUCCAAAUUCUCUAGCAAAUACAGCUUUUUUGAUCAUUUCUUCGCAUGUACCUGCAGUGGAGUACAGAGAUCAAGGAAAAAGGCAUAUAUUGGAUGAUUUUUGUGCACUUGACUACUCUAGUCUGGCACGAUCUACUUGUAAAUGUUGAUUGAUUAAUGACAAGAUCUAUUUUGAAUUUGAAUUUACUGGUCUCGAACUUGGUUAAUUAGCCAAUUUUUAGAUCCUUGAUUGACAAUAACUAAUUUGUUAGAUGCUUAUAAUUCCACAACACUUGAAAUUACUUCUCAAAGGUGUAAGUAGAGAUUUGGUGGUUAUUUUUCAAAUUUUACUUUUUAACAAAUUCAAUUUUAAUCUUACAUUUUUAAUAAAAUAAUAUUGUAAGUAAACUCCUAAAUUUUCCCAUAUUUUAAUCAUAAAUUCUUUAAAAAAUUCACUUCUCAUAAAAUAUAUUCUAAAAAAAUCUACAUUAAAUAGAUCCUAAACGAAGGUAAAAGUAAAAUUGGCCAAAAUAAUUGGAAGGUAAAAGAGUAAACGGAGGUUAUGAAGAUGAUGACUAUAUUGCCACCAAAAUUUUUAUUAACUACAUCAUAUUUUAAUUGUAAUUAACUCCUUAAUCAUUGUUCAUUGUAGUAAUUAUUUUCUUAAUUUUUUCAUCGAAUUCUUAUCUUCAACCUUCCAUUAAUUUGUAUAUCUCAUUUUUUAUGUGGAUUUAUGCCAAAAUAUUUUGUUUCUAUACUUUAAAAUAAAGGAAAAAUAUUUUUCCUACCUUCUAAUUUAUUUAUUUUUUAAAAUAUGAUGAGAAAAUAAAUUGUUAUGGGCUAUUGUAAUGGACUUUUUAAACAUAAAAUAUUUUUAAAUAUAAAAUGUGUCAACACAUGAAAAGCUUGAGGAUUAGAAUACCGUUAGAAACAUAAAUGUUAUAAUGAGUAAAGAUUGAGAAACCUAAAUGUAAUUAAAAUGCGAUACAACAAAUAAAAAUUGUUGGUGUGAAUAUAAUUACAAUGGAGAUGACAAGGAAGACGGGGAUUGGAGAGAAAUAAGGAAAUAUGUCCAAUCAAUCCCCAUGAAUCGGCAGCCAUGGAAUUUAGGGAUUAUUAGAUACAAAAUGUGUUAACUCAUGAAAAGCUUGAGGAUAAGAAUACCAUGAACAAUAGUUAGAGACUAAAUGUUAUAAGAAGUAGAUUGAGAAUUCUAAAUGUAAAUAAAUAUGCUGUAAAAGGUAAAAUAUAUGAAAUGAAUAUAAUUCCAACGGAGAUAACAAGGAAGAUGGGGACUGGAGAGAAGAAAUCAUGAAAUAUGUCCAAUCAAUCACUAUAAAUAGGAAGCCAUGGAAUUUAGGGAGACUUAUAAAGCCACCUCCAUCAAGCCGCCGCGUCUCAUAUCUAAAUUCUUCAAUGCUGUUUUGCUACCUUGACAGCGUCCUAUUUCCUCUGUUUUUUCUUUUUUCCCAUUUUUUUUUUCAUCUUUCAAUGAUAUUUUGCUAUGUGUUAUCUGUGAAAGAAAUCUUUAUGUGUAGCAUGAUUGUCCAAAUUGGUGAAUGACGAUGGUUUAUAUCAUCGGCUGGCUUGAGUUAUGGAGCCAUUACAUAAUAGCUUAGCCUGAACCAUAGGAAUGUUGGAUGAAAUUAUAAUCAGACACUUCGUUUGAAAACGAUACACUUUAGUCCUGUUUGGGUUCCAUUCUACAAAAAAUUAUUUUUGUUAAACCUCAUUUUUAAUCAAAUUCUUCUUAAACUCAAGACCUCGAGUUUUUAGUUUUGUGGCGUGUCUGUAUUAUAAAAAAGAGAACCAAAAUGAUAGGAAAACAUGAUUAUCACCUCAAUUGUUUUGUUAUAAUAUUUACCUAAUGCUUUAUUUUAGUUCAAAAGCACCUACGAAAUUAUUUGAGUUGAAUAGUAACUAAAUAACUCAGUCCUCGUUUUGUCAAAUUUAUGAGUUAUUUAUAAAGAUUAAUAGUGGUGGAUCCGGAAAAAUGUGUAAAUAAUAACAGAGUAAAAAUUAUAAAUAUUUGGUUAAAAUUACAAAUUGUACUUGACUGAAUUUAUACACGUUUUAUCAGCUAGUUGCUAAAAAACAAAUUGUCCUUGACUAUAUUUAUAUAAAUGUUUUAUGUAUCAAUCGCUAAAGCCAAAUUGUAUCGACUCGUACAGGCAGGGCUAAUGUACCAUUUGGAUCAAGUUGGAAUAUCAACCAUUCACUUCUUAUCAACUGAAACCACUUUAAACAUUCCAUAAUUUUGUUGAAGUGACCAAAAUUUUUAAAUUGACAAUCUUGCCAAUGAUAAAUGAAUGUCACUACUAUGCGACCAUAACUAAAGAGCAUUUUAGAACCACAAAAAUAAAUGAAAAAGAGAAGUCCGUGAAUGGUGAGCCCUUGUUUGAACCCCGUUCUUUUAAAAAUUCAUUUUUUCAAAACUCAUUUUCAAUCACAUAUUUUUUAAUAAAAUAAUAUUACAUGCAAAUUCAAAUUUUUUCCUUAAUUUUUAACCACAAAUUCUUCAUUAAUCUACUAUUCAAAAUGCAUUCAUUCCCCCUAAAAUGGGGCUCAAACAAGGGUAAUGUCCAUCUAUUCUACCUACUUAAACAUGAAUUGCUCUUCGUCCUUGAAUCCAAAUGCAUAAGCUUGAGCCUACUUGUAAUACUAGUAGGGUAGAUCGAAACUUCGAUGGAUAAUUCAUUGUACGAGUUUUUGACAAUUCUUCAUUUGACUUUUCUUAAGAUUGUGAAUCUUUUGACAUUAUUAUAUUUCAAUCUAAGUAACGUAUAACAUAAAUUUUAUGUCAUAUAAAAGGAGAAUUUUGAUAGGAUUGCCUCAAUAAUAUAAACCAAAUUUUGACCUCAGAAAAAUAAAAUAAAAAUCACCCUUUAAUUGCAAAUGAAAUUGCCUGUGUGAGACCAUAUCUAUGGUUUCCAUUCAAAAAUGAAAUAUUCAUUGUUGACAAUAGCCAGAAAAUAAUUCCCUAGUUUGAAGUCUAUUCAAUCAAGACGAUAUUCUAACUAUUUAAUUGUUUUAAAUAUCGUAAACAUGAGGUUUUUUUUUUUUUUUUUUUUGUGAGACGAGGAGAAAAAAUAGUCCAGCAUUUUGGCUAAAGUAGAAAAAUAUAGUCCAAUCAGACAUCGUUAGAUAAGUGUACGUGUCUAUAUAUAUAGACAAUCACACGUCUUUUAAUUGUAUUUUCAACGGGGAAAAUAUUGCAAUCAAAAAAUCCUAUACAUAUCAAACAAGCGUAUAGUUAGAAAACUAUGUCUGAUGGGUUAAAUCAUAUUUUUGUUCAGAAUUGAGACCAAAAUGAAGUUAAUAUUGUACUUAAGUUUGUUACUUAGUUAUUUUUAUAGUAGCAAAUGACGCAUCUGGAGUUACUUCUAUUGGUAGUGUUUGUGAGUCUCAAACGAAUCGGAAAAAAUAGAAUUUAGAAUAGAAAUUUAAGUGAAGAAAAUUGUUCUCUCAGAAACUCAAUUUAUAUGAUUUCAUAUUUUUCUCUAAUAAUAAAACACUACAAAUAAGCAAUUUUUUGUUAAUACUAUAUUUUGUACGUAAUAAUUAAUUGUUAACACAUGAAUUUAGACAACCAUUAGAAAUUCCUAGGAACAAGAAGAGAACUAGAUUCAUCUACAAUAACUCUACAUGCAUGUAAAUCCAAAUUCAUCAAGACAAGAUUCAUCAAGUUUAAACUAAUAUUCAAACAUCCUCCCCUAAUCUAGACUCGAAUAACACUUUUUAUCGCACUCGAUCAGUUCAGAGUAUCCCCAGCUAUCUAGCCUCAUCCGAAGACUCGUCCCUUCAACUUUCUUCUUUCCCACCGCCGCCUUGCUUGACUUCACCAUUGAAUUAUUAACCACCUCAAUUGUCGGUGGCAAUGAAGACAUGGGCUUCUUCUUCAGUGGAUCAAUUGGCUCAUUCCCUUUCCCAUCUCCCCACUCUCUCUUGAGAUCGUUUCUAUAUAUAGAUUUCUUCUUCCUUUUCAUCCAUACAAUAUAGAGGUCUCCCGGGUGGUCACUGUUGUUUUAGAUUUUAUGUUAUGCCAUUUCUUUUUACUUAAAGUCGCUUGUCAUCACCAAUCUUUACUUGACUUUAGAGAGGAUCGUCCCAAAUUGUGAAAAUAUCUUUAUUAUCACUGAUAUGAUUACUACAACCACUGUUAAGAUACAAACAUCUUUGGUGACAAACUUCUUGUGCUCUAAAGGCUAGAAAAAAGAGCCUCCUCGUCAUUAUUUUGUUCCUUAUGUAUGAAAUUGAGUUAUUUUUGUCACCAUUAUUUUUCUUAAACACGCAAUAUUCUUUAGCAUGGCCAAAACGAUUGCAAUUGUAGCAUCGAGAAUGAGAAAAAUUACCACAAUCUCGCAUCGGCCUCUUAAUAUGCCUCUUCCUCUUCUUCAACCUUAAAAUGAACUUGGUUCUUCCUCGCUUUCACUAUUGACACUCUGGGGCUCGAAAUUUCUACCAUUCUCCUUUCAAACUUUGACUAAAAGAAGUUUGAGAUUGAAAGGCUUGUUAUAAAGGAAUGGCAUCAAAUUGCUUCAAUGUAAGCUCACGAGAUUGGAGAGAUCCCAUCAAGUUAUUUACCAAUAAAUUGGCCAAGUCUUUUGAUUUUCAAUGGCGACAACAACGUGCUCAAAUUUUCUAGUCAUGCUGCUGAGAAUUUUCCCAACAGUUCUCUGAUCUAAAAUUUGUUCUCCAUUUACUUUCAAUUGAUUAAUAAUUGAGAGAACACGAUUAAAAUACUCCUCCAUCAACUCAGAGUUUUUCAUAUUAAGUGUAUAAAAUUCAGAUCUCAGAGCUUGCAAUCUUAACAUUUUUACUUUAUCUUUAACUUGACAAGUUGAUUGCAAAGUGUUCCAUGUACCAUUCUGAAUUUGUUGUGGAAAUUCAUAAGCCUUCUUGUCCUUCUUGUGAUUUUCCUUUAAUUCGUUAUUUUGUUGCCGAGUAAGAGCAACUUGAUCUUGUGGCUCAAUAAAUCCGUUCUCAAGAAUUUCCCUUAACUCUUGGGAACCGUAUAAAACUUUCAUUUGUUGACUACAAUUCUUCCCAUCGAAGCAAGGAAGUUAAGGUUGCAACACAUUGUUGUUGUUGGAUGCUAUAUCGUAAACCCAUUCCAAUAUCAAUUUGCUGAAAGGUUUUGAUGAGCCUCAAAAGAAUCAAAGAAAAUGAAAUUUAGAUAGAAAUUUAAGAUAAAAAACAUUAUUCUCUCAAAACUCAACUUUUAUGAUUUCAUAUUUUUUCCUAAUAAUAAAAUAUUACAAAUGAUCAAAUCUUUUUAUUACGUUUGCUAUAUAAGAAUUAAUUGUUAAUACAUGAAAUUAAAUAACAAUUUAAAAUUUUGAGAAAAAGACAUACAAUGGAUGAUAUUCGUACACCUGACUAGUCAAGUUUGGCACAAUAUACUGGUACAUGUUGAUUGAUUAAUAACAAGAUCUGUAUUAAAUUUGAAUUAAUCCGUCUCAAACUUGAUUAACUGCCCAUGUUGAGAUCCUUAGUUGGCAACAACCAAUUUUUUAGAUGCUAAUAAUUCCACGAGACUUGAAAUUACCUCACAAAAUUGUAAGUAGAAAUUUGUUAGUGAUUUUUCAAAAUUCAUUGUUUUAAAAAUUCAUUCUUAAUCAUACAUUUUUUUUAACAAAAUAAUUUUGUAUGUAAACUCACAAUCUUUCAUAUUUUAAAAUCAUAUAUUCUUUAAAAAAAUUCACUUUUCAUAAAAUUUAUUUUAAAAAUAUCUAAAUUAAACAAAACCUGAAAGAGGAUAAACGCCAAAUUGGUCAAAGCUGAAGGGUAAAAGAGUAAAUGGAGGUUACAAAAGAAAAUGAAGAGGGUGGUUAUAUUACCAACACAAUUUUUUAUCAGUUACAUAAUAUUGUAUUUGCAGUUAAAGUUCCUAAUCUUUGUUCAUUGUAGCAAUUAAAUGCUCAAUUUUCUUUCGUCAAAUUCUUAUCUUCAACUUGUCAUUAAUUAGUAUAUCUUGUCCUUGAUGGUGAUUUAUAUCAAAAUAUUUUGUUCCUAUGAUUUUAAAUAAGGAAACAAAAUUCGUACUAUUUAAUUUAUUUAAUAUUUUAAAAUAUGAUGGAAGAAGAAGUUGUUAAACAUUGUUUUAAAAUAUGAAGCAAUGAAACUCUUAAAUCUUUGUUCCGUGCAGUAAUUAUUUCCAUAAUUUUUUCGUCGAAUUCUUAUCUACAAACUUCCGGUAAUUGGUAUAUCUCAUCCUUGAUGGUGAUUUAUGUCAAAAUAUUUUAUUUUAAAAAUUUAAAAUAAGUGAAAAAUAUGCUGACAUGAACUAUUAUUAAAUACAAAAUACGUUAAGUAAUAAAACAUUUGAGGAUAAGAAUAUCAUGAAAAAUCGACAAGGACAUAACUGUUAUAAUGAGUAAAGAUUGAACCUUAAAUAUAAUUAAAAUAGGGUGCAAGGAAUAAAAUUGUAAUAUGAACAUAAUUAUCCAAAUUGGGAUGACAAAAUAGAUGGUGACAGGGUAGGAAAAAACAACUAAAUGUCCAAUCAAUACAUAUGAAUAGGCGUCCCCAGGGCACAUCUCCAAGUGGUAAAAGAGAAGGGUGGAAAAAUCCAACUUUGCUUGAGAUUGCAGCGUCAAGGGUUCGAAUCCUGAAACAUGGAUUUGGCUCUUGGGUAAGUGCAAGUGUACAAGCAGCCUUCCACCAUUUACCCUUGGAGGCAUAACUGCGAUUUACCUCCCUCACGAUACUCCAGAACAGGGGCGAUGGGGGACCCUUAAGGUUGGGGUUCAACAUUUUUUUUUUUAAUACAUAUGAAUAGGCAACCUUGGAAUUUAGGUAGACCUAUAGAGCCACCACUAUCGGGCCGCUCAUCUCAUUUCUAAAGUUGAUUCCUAAAACUAUUCAAUCCUAUUGAACCUAAGAAAUGUAGCAGUUCAAAUUUUUUUUCUACAGGCCUAACGUGGCAGUACAUAGGAAUGUUGGAUGAUGUUAUAGUCUACUUUGUUUGUAGUUUGAACUCUAUUAAUUAUGAUACAUACAAUUUUAUUUUUUUAAACUCAUUUUUAAUCAAAAUUUUCUAAUUAAAUCACAAAAUUUAAUCACACUCCUUGUCUCAAAACCUCGAGUUUUCAAUUUUGUGACGUGUCUUCAUUUUAAAAGAGAACCAAAAUGAUAUGAAAAAAUGAUUAUCAUCUCCCAUUGUAGUGGUUUUAAUCUUAUCAAAUGCAUUAUUUUAGUUCAAAAGCACCUGUGAAAUAUUUGAGUUGAGCAUUAACUAAACAAUUUAGUGACUACUUUUCAAAUUUAUAAGUGAUUUAAAAAGACUAAUAGUAGGGAAUCCUAAAUCAUAUGUGGAUACCAACCGAGUAAAAAAUUGCGAAUAUCCAUUUGAUCGCAAAAAACAAAUUGUACUUAACUGAAUUUACAUAAAUGCCCCUUAUCAAUUGAUUGCUAAAAACAAAUGGAUUAGAAUCGUACACAUGCACGAUCAGUGAACUAUUUGGAUCAAGGUGGAAUAUCAUCCGUGAACUUCUUGAUGAGGUUCAUGUGGAGGAACAGACACUUGGGUGUAUGGAAUGCUUGGAUAGUCUGCGUUCAAAAAAAUUGACGUAACUUUUGUAUAUGGUGUCCAUUUUGGGCCCAUAAUUCCAUUCCGUUUUGACCGUUUGAAUUCGUUUAUUGGGUCAAAAUGACAUUUAAAGUUUUUUAGUUUAUUAUUUUUAGUAUUUGUUAUUCUCACUUUGUAGCCCAGCUCAUUAAGAAACUAUUAGCCCGAUAGGUUAUCUAUUCUUUUCAUAUUUAAGACUCUUAAACGUCUCCUAGGGUUUUUUGGUCGUUCAUAAAAUAAAAAAAAAAACUUUUGUUUUUUGAGUUCAAUCCAUUUGAGUUGUUAGUAUCUUGUGUUUUAGAUUCGAUCUACAUUAAUUCUUAUCGACUCAAAUGAUUUAAAAAAAAGGGGACUCAAACAACCCCUUAAUCUUUGUUACUUGUAGUAAUUAUUUCCAAAAUUUUUCAUUGAAUUCUUAUCUACAACUUUCCAUUAAUCAGUAUAUCUCAUCCUUGAUGGUGAUUUUUGUGAAAAUAUUGUUUUUCGAAAAAUUGAAAUAAGUGAAAAAUAUUUUUUCAUACUUUUUAUUUUUAUUUUUUAAAUAGAUGGGAAAAUAAGUUGUUAUAUAUUAUGUAAAUGGAUUUUUGGACAUAAAUUAUUCUUAAAUACAAAAUAUGUUAACUAAUAAAAAGUUCGAGGAUAAGAAUAUCAUGAAAAGUCGACAUUGAUAUAAUUGUUAUAAUGAGUAAAGAUUGAACCUCAAAUAUAAUUAAACUAUAGUGCAAGGAACAAAAAUGUGAUGUGAACUAGAGGCGGACCCAGACCUUUAGUAUUGUGGGGGUCAAAAUUUUAAAAAUAAUUUUUUAAAAAAAAAUGACAUAAUAUCAAUGAAAAUAAGUUUAUAUGUAUUUUGACAUUUUGAAAACGUUGUAUAAUUACAUCAUUAUUAAUAUUAUUAAAUAAAUUUUGCUUUUUGUAUCCUCUUGUUUAUCAUUUCAUUGGCAAAUGUUGAGCUAACAUUGAGUAAAUUAAAUUGAAUAUAGAAAUUAAAUAAAUUGAAAUAAAAUUCAACUUUAAUUUAGGAAGUAAAUGAAAUUCAAAUUUAAAGCAAAUAUAAUUCGAAAGUAAUACAAAUUGCAUUUAAUCCAUAAUGACCCUAAAAAAUUUACGUCAUAUUUCACGUAAGACUUCUGAAUGAAACGAUAUAAAUUAUAUUGAAAAAUUUAUCGUGCAAAAAUAAUAAUUAAUUGAAUUUUUUUAAAAGAAAAAACGAGUUAGACGUCUUUUUUGAAACGUACGUUUGAUACAUAUAUUUAACUAUUUUCGAUAUCCAUUUGGACCAUUCGAUAUGAAAACGAUGUAAUUUUCGAAACAAACUUUUACAUGACAGACGAUUUGUGGAUUCAGAUAGCACAUGAUCGCAAAUGAAUUUUUAAAGUUAGGAUAUUAUCGAAAUUUUUAAAAUACUAAUUUCAAACGCCCUACUUUAACAUGUCACAACUUUUUUUAUAGUUGACCACUUCGCAUGACUUUAAUGAGUGAAAAAUUAGACCAUGAGCACUUCGAAAUGGUAUUGAAAAUGUAAUAUUUUGACUUCAUUUGACAUCCCGACGAGUACAUCAAAAUAGAGUGUAAAAAACAAAAAGGGGGAGGGGAAUUUUGUGGGGUCAUUUGACCCCACAUGACCCCAUGUGGGUCCGCCCUUGAUGUGAACGUAAUUAUCUAAACUGAGACGACAAAGUAGAUGGGGAUAGGAGGGAAAAAAACAACAAACAUGUCCAAUCAAUACAUAUGAAUGGGCAACCUCGAAGUUAGGUAGACCUAUUGAGCCACCUCGGUCGAGCCCCUGCGUCUUAUUUCUAAAGUUGAUUCCUCAAAUUCUUCAAUCCUCUAUUUACUCCAAAAUGGUGAAUAGUGGUGGUUUGCAUUAUCGGCUGGCUUGAGCUAUGGAGCUAUUAUAUAAUAGCUGAGUUUGAACCUAAGAAAUGUAGCAGUUCAAAUUUUUAUCAACAGGCCUAACGUGAGAGUAAAAGGUUAAACCCUAAUCUUAAGGGUCUCCCACCACACCUGCCCUGGAGUAUCGUGAGGGAGGUAAAUCGCAGGUUAUGUCUCCAAGGGUAUAGGGUGGAAGGCUGCUUGUACACUUGCACUUACCCAAAAGCCAAAUCCAUAUUUCAGAAUUCGAACCCUUGACACAGCAGCCUCAAGCAAAGUUGGAUUUCUCCACCCUCCCCUUUUACCACUUGGAGAUGUGCCCUGGGAGCGGCCUAACGUGAGAGUAGUACAUAGGAAUGGUGGAUGAAAUUAUUGUCAGAUAUUCUUUUUAAAAUUUGAACUCUAUUAAUUAUGAUACAAUUAGUCAUGUUUGGUUCCAUUCUACAAUUUCAUUUUUUUAAAACUUAUUUUUAAUCACAAUUUUUUAAUCAAAUCAAAAAAUUUUAAUCACGCUCAUUGUCUCAAAACAUCGAGUUUUCAAUUAUGUGGUAUGACGUUAUUUUAAAAGAAAACCAAAAUGAUAUUAAAAAAUGAUUCUCACCACCUUCAGUUGUUGGGUUUUAAUCUUUAUCUAAUGCAUUAUUUUAGUUCAAAAGCACCUGUGAAAUUAUUUGAGUUGAAUAGUAACUAAACAACUUAGCGAUUGUUUUUCAAAUUUAUAAGUGAUCAAUACAGAUUAAUAGUAGAGAAUCCCAAAAAAUAUGUAGAUACUAACAAAGUAGAAAAUUACGAAUAGUUGGUUAAAAUUACAAAUUAUACUUGAUUGAACGUUUUACCAACUGAUUGCUAAAGACAAAUUGUAAACUAUAUUUAUAUAAAUGUCUUAUCAAUUGAUUGCUAAAACCUAACCACGAUUAUUGUACUAUUUGGAUCAACGUGAAAUAUCAUCCAGUAACUUCUUUUCAACUCAAAUAGUUUAAAAAGUGUCACCAAAAUUUUUAAUUGAUAAUCUUUUCAGUGAUGAAUGAAUGUCACUACUAUAUGACCAAAACGAAAGAGCGUUUUAGAACCAAUAAGAAAAAAGGAAAAAAAAAAGUCAGUGUAUCGUGCCUUAAAUAUCCGUCUUAUCUAUCCACUUAAACGCGAACUGCUCCUCAUUCGUGAAUCUAAGCGACGUAUAACAUAACCUUUUAUAUCGCAUAAUAAGAAAUCAUCAAUAGAAUUUUGAUAGGAUUGCCUCAAUAAUAUAAACCAAAUUUUGAUUUAAAAGAACUCCGUUCAAUUGCAAAUGAAAUUGCUCGCUUGAGACCAUAUCUAUGGAUUCCAUUCGGAAAUUGAAAUUAUCACUAAUGACAAUACCCAGAAAACAAUUCUCUAGUUUGAAGUUUCUUCUAUAAAGGCGUCAUUCUAACUAUUUAACUGUAUUUUAAAUGAUGUACACAUGAGUUUUUAUUUAUUUGUAACAAUGAGCAUUAAUAGUCUGCAUUUCGGCUAAAGUAGAAAAAUAUAAUCCAAUGACGCAUCGUCAGACAAGUGUACGUGUCUAUAAAAGAAUCCUAUACAUAUCCAAAAAAAUAAAUAAAAAUAAAUUGGCGCACUAGGAUGAUUGGAAUAUAAUUAUACAAAUCGGGAUGACAAGGAAGAUGGGGACAGGAGAGGAAGAAAACAACAAAUAUGUCCAAUCAAUACCUAACACAAUGCAGACCUGAAUUAAAGUAGACUUAUAAAGCCAUCUCCACCAAGCCGCUGCGUCUCAUUUCUAAAGUUGAUUUCUCAAAUUCUUCAAUCCUAUUUUGCUCCAAAUUGGCGAAUGGUGAUGGUUUGCAUCAUCGGCUCCAAACUGAGUACAAAACGCAAAUUGUAUAGAAUCGUACAUGCAAGAACAGUGGACUAUUUUCAACUUUAAAUAUCAGCCACACAAUUCUUAUCAUCUGAAACCAUUUAAAACACGUGCAAGUAUUUGUGCAUUCUAUAUAUUCUACAUUUCUUGAGAAGUUUCAGUAGCUUGAGUUUGAAGAAGAGAUGCCUAUAGUUGUGAGAAUUCUGUCGUUGGGAUGGGCUAUCAUGAUGAUUAUGAGUAUUGCAAAUGUAGCAGAUGGAGCAAUUCCUAAUGAUUUGCUGGAAAAGAUUUCUAUAAUAAACAAAGAUGGUCCUUACUUGGGUAUUGUAGUGCCCAACAGUUUUGAGAUGAACCCUCUUCUCCAAUCUUCAAGUUUUGUUCCUCAUCCCAUGCUUUCCUACUUGGAUUUUGCAGGUUAGACAACUAUUCACUUGAAAUUUAAUUUAUUGCUUACUUUGAUUUUGUGUAAGAUGAACUAUUCGGUACCGAACGCUAUAAAAAAAUGUUAUAAUCUUGUCAGAAUGUUACAUAUAAAAAGUGUCCUUUUACAUAUUUUUUCAGAAUGAUAUAUGCUGUAGUAUUUCGUUUUACCUAUAUUGAACAUGAAUAUGGCUAGCAGCCUAUUUUCAGGGGCGGAUGGGUUUACAGGAUCAAGUAGAUUUUGGAAAAGAAAAAAAAAUUUGUUUAGCUUUUUUUUUUAGAAAGUACCUUAUAUAUUUUAUUUGUGACCCCUAUUGGGUCCACCCCUGCCUAUGUUUUUAACUGCAUUUAGAGUACUGGAAAUAUGUUUGCGUAUACCUAAACAGAUUAUUGUUUAUGAAUUUCAAGUGAACGUGUAAAACUCCGAAGGGUAUAGAUCAAACUUAGCAUGGCCUUUAUAGUAAUAAAACAUUUGACUCUUUAGGCAUUCCAGUAGAUGCAUCAUUAAGAAAAAAAAUAUGAUAAAUUCCCUUUAUAGUAACUAUACACUCACUGUCAAUGAGAUAAUUGUACUACAUUUUAAUUUUAAUAAGAUAAAUCCACUUUAAUUUAAUUAAAUAUUGAAAACAAUGUUUAGAUACUGUUGUUGUCGAUCUUCUUGUAAUAUGUUUCAUUCUACCAAAUCUUCAAGGAGACAACAAGAAAUAGCAUAAUAUCCAGUUUCAAUAUUCCAAAAUCUUAGGCUUAUUUUCUUCAUCUUUUGCAUCGAAACAGGAAGAAGAUUUCGACUUGGAACUUUGGAAAGUCGAAAAGUUAUAAUUGUCAUGUCCGGACUCAGCAUGGUAUAUGUUCAUUUUUGUAAUACCCUACUUACAAGGAAAAUUCAGUGAUUUAUUUCUUUCCAUUUUUCAAAGGUACAAAAUAAUUAAUUUAAAUUAUUAUUUCGUAGCUUAAUGCAGGCUUAGUAACACAGUUGCUGCUUAGUAUAUUCGAGAUUGAAGGAGUAGUUCACUUUGGAAUAGCAGGAAAUGCAAAUCCUAACUUACAAAUAGGAGAUGUUACUAUCCCUCAUUACUGGGCUCAUUCAAGCCUUUGGAAUUGGCAGGUAUCCAUUUUCUAUAAUCUUCUUUUAUUUUCAUUUUCAAAAAUUGGUUUCCUUAUAAAAUGUAUGGAUGGUUUUUGAUGUAUUAGCAAAAGACGUUCUUCUAUAAUUAUUUAUUUACUUAAUCCACAACAAUCUCCAUAAUUUGCUUCAGAUAAGCAGCCUCUAAUAAUUAUCUCACUACGUAAAACCCAUCGAUUUAGAUGCUCCGAAAACUAUCAAAAUAAGCUGAGAAAAGCACUAUAUCAUUUUCACGUGUAGUGUAUACUCACAUAUAUUCCCAUUAAAUGACUUUGUUUAAAUCCUUGCGCAUUUUUUUGAUCAGAGGUUUGGAGAUGGGCCUGAUGAUGAACUUGCAUUUGAAUCUAAUGGAGACUAUACAAGAAAAAUCGGUUAUCUUAAUUUCUCUCAAUAUGAAAAUGGCACAAAAAAUGGGAAUUAUUCAGACAACCUUCUCAACAAUGUGUGGUAUCAACCGGAAGAGAUAUUUUCCAUUGAUGGACAACCUGAGAUUAGACAGCAUGCCUUUUGGGUUCCUGUUGACAAGCUGUACUUUUCACUUGCAGANNNNN